ACUUACUGUCUUGCGAUCACCAAGAAAUAAGAAUCUGCGAGCAGCCGCCCAGCAGCAGCUUUAAUGGAGUCAACUGAAUUUUCUUAUGGAGGUUUGACAGUAAUAACGACUUGCUGCAGGCAGCUCGUGAUCCAAUCUCAAUGCUAACCUCUCAAGCCACCAAGCACCACAAUCUCACAACAAAUUAGGAUAAUAAACACGUACGUACGUAGUACUGAUGCUACGGAUCCAUUUCAGGAAGCGGUCAGCUAUGCACACACGGACACCAAGUAAUCCCGCCCUGGAAUGAACAUAUUUUUUUUACACAGGACCACACACGGGUAUAGACUAAACGUCUUCGCGAGAUUUGAUAUUUGACCCUUAAUCCUCGGUGUGGCACGUCCAGUAUGUCAACCCGCUGCAAAGACGACGCGACGUCAGGACACGUACUGGCCAAGUGAACGAAUUAGGGAGCGAGCGAGAGACGAAGUUGAUGAAGCAUGCGGAUAUACCUUAUCAACACAAAAACGCAUUGCAGAACCCCGGCAACACCAGUCCACACAGAAGGGCCCUUGUCUGUCAGGGCGUCUUGCACCAACAAACCCACUGAUCCCGCAAGGCAGACGAAUGAAACGACGUAGGCGACAAAAAGCCAAAGCUUCACCCUGCGUAUUAACAAGCCCAUGUCAGAAUAAUACAGUGUAGAAUCCUUCUUGCAGAGUAAAUCCCAUUUACUAGCAAAUUCCUGUACCCAGCAGCACUCAAUGGGACACGGUGGCACCCAUUUCGCUUUACCAACCCCAGGGGAACCCCGCUACAGGCCUUCAUCAUCAGUAAUACUGAUUGGGUGCUAAGAUCCAUAGUCGAGAGGGAAACAGCCCAGAUCGUACACUAAGCAAUCACUCGGUGGAAAAGGAAGUGGUCAAGCACCAUUGGUCUACUAUACUCUUAUGGAAGUCACAAAGAGGGAGAACGAAUGUGACGAUGCAAUCACAUAGUACAAUGCUAGCAACUACAACGUUCUUUCGAUCAAAAGCAUUUCAUCAGUUUGAGAUUUUGCACAACAUAAAUGAAUAGAUGAUCCAUAAAAUGAAAACCCUUAACCCUGCACUUGAACCUGAACAAGUAAAUCUUCAACAUUCCGGGUUUGCCUAGACUGUGCCUACAUUUUAAGAUUCAUCUUGUUGCAAGAUAUCCGUGUGGCUUCAUCUGCUAAGGCCUAGGAUCCCACUUAGCGAUUAUAUUUCCACUUAUGUUGACAGUGUAAUGUUCCUACUUGCUUUGUUCCUCUAGGGGCUCAACCCCAUGUCGUAAAUAUCUUUACUUAUAUAUAUAUCAUACUCUCCUACUGUUUUUCUUCUUACAAAAAGCAUGUGGCUUCUUUCAAAUUUCUUGAAGCAGUUUUAGCUAAUCCUUGCAUUGGCUUUGUUAUGGCUUAAUGAAGCUUAAAAUAUUUGCAGAAUGCGCAGCACAUCAGUUGAGAAAAAUUAAACACAUUCCUUUGUCUCCAACAUAUAAAAUGUUAUACAAAGAGACUAGUUUUAACAUAUCGAAAACCUAGAGCCAUAAAAAUAACUUAAUCAAGCAUUCUAACUCUGAUUUUGGUCAGGUUGCAACCAUAGGUUUGGAAUAAAUUAUUCUGAUCGUUCCCUAUGAAUAUAUACAAACAUAACUACAUAGAAACUAACCACAAUAAAAUCAAAAUGUGAUACACGGGUCUAAAAUUUUAGAAAAAUGGGCUUCACAACAAUUAGCAUGCAGAUUUAAUAAGCCGAAUCUGGCAGAACUAUAGAACGGCCAAAGAGUGAAGUAGACACUUGAAGUCCUAACUUUCCACAUCUACCAACAACAAUUUUUUACACACGCAUGAUAUUUAGAAGAAAAUAGGUGAAACUGCACUUCUUUUUUUAUCUUGCUCAGGAAGUCGCGCAGCAGAAAGUUGAACAGAGGAAAUUAAUGUAUACAACUAUAAUUCAGAAAUAAAUCCAAAUAAGCAUAAGUUAUAACUAGUUAUUUUCAACCAAUAAGAGUUUCACUUUGAACCCAACUGCAAUGGUAUCACAUUGCCACAUGGAUUGUCAUGGAAAAAGCUUGUCUUGAAAGGCAAGCCACAGUAACAGAAAGGUAAGAAAAUAUGUAGUAGGUGUUUGGCACAUGUUAAAUUAAAUGUCAAGGAAAACAGGAAUAUGAUAGAAACAGAGUAACAUGCAAUGAAGAUCGAGGAGCAGUGCUAAUAGGGAAAUAAUGAGGACCAUUAGCAAUAGAGAAACCAAUGCUACCCUCAUGAGAUAUACUAACUGUUUUGGCUGUCAGAACCAUCAAAAAGAGAGGUCGCACUGUUGACUUACAUACUUAUUUGUCCAAGCACAUCCAUGACCACCCAAAGAAGCCUUAAUAUGACUUCUCUAAACCAUUUAGACUCAUAUAAUCAGAUUAGUCAGCCCUUAACAUAUGGUCAGGCCUGAGAUGACUUAAGAACCUAACCUAGGUCCAAGAUAUCAUGGCUUUUCUCUUUUGACACAAGAAUAGUCAAGGUACCUAAUCAGUUUUGUUUCAUCCAAAAUCAAUGGGUUAUUAACUAAAAUAACCCAUCACAAGUUCAGUGUGUGAGAUUAUAAUCAUAAAAUAUAACUAACUUUUCAGUCGUGCAGUUAACGUGUAUACAAUAUACAUUCAGGGUUCAAUUCAAUCAUCUAGAUUACAGUAACCUAUUCUUUGGUUGGUUAAUAUGCAGUAACUAGAAUUCACUGAUCAAUUCGAUAAACCGGUGCCAAAUCGAGCAGUAAUCUGACCUCCACUCGGAAUCAUCCCCGUAGGACGAGUAGUAGUCGUUCCCGAUGGCAUCCUUGUCGACGCAAUUGAACAUGAGCGCGGCCAGCGACGCGAAGAUCCCUGCGAAUCCCCCACAGAGACCCGUCAAUUCCCGACCUCGGAGCCGCGACACGAAUCGCCAAAAGCCUGGGGAAGCGGGAGGGAGGGGAUCUGGUUACCGGGCAGGUAGUGGAUGAAGGAGACCUGGACGGCGCUGCAGACGACGGCGUCGACCCAGAACCACCAGCCGGCGCCGAAGAGCGCGCCGGCGACGCCCGGCCCGAUGAUCCCCCACAGCAUCGCCAGGUUCUCCAUGGCCGCACCAAACCCUCGCCUCCACCAACUCCGCGGAAUCCCCUCGCUUCGUUGCUUCCUUCCUUCUCGCCUUUUCUUUUCUGCCGAUUUCCUCUCCUCUUCCCUUCUCUUUUCUUUUUGCGCCGAGAGGGGGUUGGAUAGGUUGUUGGGCUUUGACUCGGACUCGGUUGAUUAAUCGGGCCCAAUGGGGCCUCACAUGUUAAUGGGCCUGAUGGGCCAACAAGUGAUGGACCAAUCGGUGGUGUUCCCUAAAAAAAUCUGGGAGAGGAAGGAGGUUGUAAGUGUGAGCAGCAGGAAGAGGUGACAAUGGCGCGAGGUGGCGCGUGGGCGGUGGCGGCGGCGGCGGUGCUGUGGUGGAUGGCGGCGGGCGCCGGGGCGGUGUGGCUGGAGAUCGCGCCGUCGGGGACCAAGUGCGUGGCGGAGGAGAUCCGGUCCAACGUCGUCGUCAUCGGCGACUACUCCGUCCUCUACGAGCACCAGCAGGCCCAUCCCACCGUCUCCGUCAAGGUAAUUCAUUUACGUACAUUUAUUUACAUACUCCGCCCGAACGAUCGGUGCAUAAAUGCAAUGUGGGAGGUUAUAAAAUGGAAGGAUUUAACGUUCAACACUGCGAAAUAAAUGAUGAGGGUUUGCCGCGGGUGAACCAUCUCCCCCGUUUUUUUGGAAAAACAUGGCAGGACUGCUGCCACUUUCAUUGAUAGCUUAAAUUUACAGUGGCUGGAUUGGGUUCGCAUUCUAGUAUAUUCGAUCGGAAAGGGGAGAAGGCAAUGAAUUUACAGAGACUGGGUUGAUCUGUUAAUGGUGAGGACCCUUUGCAAAGUUGCAGAGUGCAGAUGUCAUGGAGAAUAUUGAACGAGUCACCGGGGGUAGAAUCGGUUGGUAAAAUCGUCAGGAAAUUGUAACGAGUCAUUGGUGGCUAUUACCAAUUGGAAAGUCAUUGAUUCAUUGGGAUAUCUCUACAUUGAUCUGGGGCUCAGGUGCUGGUUGUACUGAAAAACAUUUGGUACCUUUAUUCAUUUUCAAAGAUACUGGUACAUGUGAUUAUUUCACAUUGUGCGUGUACACAUAAAAGGAACAAGCUAGAAAACGUUUUGCUAGUGCAAAUAUAUAAGGAAUUUUUUAAACAUUCUAUAUGAUCCAUAGUUUACCAGAGGUGUGUUUUUGCUUUCAACCAGGGCUCAUUAUCAUCCUUCAACAUUGAAUUCACUGAAAUAAAAUACAUGAUGGGGCAGAACGAUGAUUCAAUUUGUCCUGGCGCCUUAUCCAUUUUUCUGUUAUAUCUGGAGUUUUUACAUCGACAUUGAAUUGUAUGUGUUGUUUUGAAAUUAUCUUUGUUUGAUUUUGGUUUUCACCUUGUAUCCAUGAAAAUUGGAGUUGAUAGUUCAAAAUUUUCCUUUUCUUGCAUGUUCCAUAUCAAAAAUACGUUGGCUAAAGGGGGAAGGACACCUCCUUUAACUGUCCACUGUUAGAUAAAAGUGAGAUCUCUCUGCAAAUUAACGCGGAUAGCAGCCCACGGGUGGGUGGGUUCAGCACCUUGAAUUCCAGCCACUAAGCUAGGGCUGAAUUCUCAAGCAUGUGCCAUAUCAUGCCUUACAAUCACAUGGUUUUGAUGUUUUAGUGCUUUACUGAAGGAAACAGAAGAUCAUAAAUAGAGAGAAUCUGCAGUAUUUUAGUUCAGUCUGAGUCAUAACUAGGAAUAGGAAGAACUAAUAAGGACUUGGGAAUCGGGAGGCAUUGGAAUUAUGAUCCACCUUCUACUAUUCUAUUAGCUGUAACUUUAGUUCCAUAGUUGCAUCACAUGAUAUUAUUGCAUACCUUAUAUUCCUGUACUUAUGCAACGUGUGUGUGUGUGCAAGGGCAGUAGAAUUCCAAAAAAAGUAUCCCGUCACUAGGCUUCCUUCCACGUUUUAUCAUUCAGUUUUAACAGUAUAUUUAUUUCCCCUUGUAAUUUCUUGGAACUGACUCCAAUUUGUGUUUUCUUGACUCAUUUGUAUCCGUUUUGAUGUACAUUAUUCUUGCAGAUCACAUCCCCUUUUGGGGAUACCAUACACAAGAAAGAUAAGGCUACAGUGGACCAAUUUGCAUUUACCACAUCAGAAGCAGGAAAUUACUUAGCUUGCUUUACAGUUGACAGUGAUAACAAGGGUUUGGUGGUGAAACUAAAUCUUGACUGGAAAAUUGGUAUCGCGGCAAAAGAUUGGGAUGCUAUUGCUAAAAAGGAAAAGAUUGAGGUGAAGUACAUGAAAUUAUGAUGGUAUACCCAUCAUUUUUCAAUUUCGUUGUUUUCCUCGUUUGGAUGACAGUAAUUUUCCUGAAUAGGGAGUUGCACUAGAGUUGUUUAAGCUUGAUGAAUCUGUCCAAACAAUCUACGAAAAUCUGCUCGUGCUGAGGACCAAGUAAGUCAAUGCACUUCUCCGGUCAUGUUUCAUCAAUUUUGUUGAUACCAAAAGGUUUAACUACUCCGUUUGAUAAUAUUGUUCUUAAUGCAGAGAAUCCGACAUGAGAGAUGUCAGUGAGGUGACGAAUGCUAGGGUCUUAUGGUUGAGCAUGAUGUCGCUCGGUGUUUGCAUUUGUGUUUCAGUUAUGCAGCUGGUGCAUCUAAAACGGUACUUCCGAAAGAAGAAGCUCAUCUGAGAUUAUAUACUCCUCUGCAGCAUACAUACAUUCUAUGCUCUAUUUAGUACUAGCUGAAAUAUAAUAAUUUUGCCAGAAUGGAUGUUAAGCAAUUAUGUAAUAGAAUGAUAGCAUGUUCUCACCUAAUCCCAGGUUCAGAUAAGAUGGUACUGCUGCCACUCUUCAUGAUCAACUUACCACUAUUACAAAACAAAAUGCAAGUACCAAUUUUAUGAUGCUACUAGGCACUGGCCCCCUUGCCAUAACCAAAGAAACUCUCUGUAAUCACUCUGUGGUAAGCUUUCAUGGAUGAAAUCUGCGAGGUUCUUUCCAAAGUUACUCUUGAACGCCAACUUGAUCUCGUUUAUGCCGACGUCGUCGCUGCCCAAGAUAGCCCUCGUAACCAACCUUUUAUCAGCUUCUGGGCGUUGCAUACUCCUCUGCAGUAACUGACAAGGCCAAGAAUAGAAGAAUGAGUCAGGGACCAGCGAUGUAGUAGUACAAAUUCAAGUGCAGAACUGCUUGCUUUCUGCUAUUCACCUUACAGUAAUACUUGGAAGGAGUGUAGAUGCACUUGACAACAACUCUCAGAGACUCUUCAAAAUCGCCAGCCAAAUUCUUCUUCAGUGCCUGCAGACAUACACAUUCAUGAUUGGCCAAGAGGUUCACCAGUGUUCUUCUGUUAAGUGGAGAUCAUCAGGCCAACCAGCCAGGCCAUUGAGUCUGCUUACUUUGGUGAAGUCAUGCCCAUAUAUGUGCUUGUAGCUGCAGAGCGCCAGCCUGAGCUGUGGGAUGCUCCUCUUGCUGAACAUCUCGAGGAUGGCGGCCUCGUCGACCGAUCCCGUGCCGCCGCCGUUCUUGGCGUCGUACAAUCGCCUGGCGUCGCAUUUCGCGAUGUGCCGGCUGGGUUCAUCGUGGUGCGACUUGUGGGAGGUUGCCAGAGCUACCAAUAGCUGCUCAGACCACGAUAGGAAAACCCGGCAAGGAGUGAGCUACCUUUGCUAAGUAGAGACGGAAGAAAAGUGGCUGAAACUAGAACGAGAAGCAGGGGGUGGAUAGGACAGGCAUACUCUCUGAUAAGGGUGCGAGGGGUCGGUGACCAUGUCCUGCUCCAGGUUCUUCUUGAACCUGGCCAGGUACGCCUGCUUGGUGAAGAAGAGCUGGUCCUGCUUCCGCCGCGUGAAGACCUCGACAAGGGCGCGGUAAUCGGCCGCCGCGCCGCUCUCGAUGGCGUCCCUUGCCAUGAUCGCGUCUCGCUCCGCCAGGUCAAGCAUCCACAGGUAGAGCAGGUUGCAGAGCUGGAGAGGGAGGCCAUGCUGAGACUGAAAGCAGAGUACGUUGAGACGCCCUGCCUACCUGUUAUGCCCUUUGUUUAUCUUAUUAUUACCUCGUUGUCCUGAUUGGCCGUGAGGGUUUUAUGGAGCCUGCCGGCGAGGUCCUCGCCGAACAUUGCGCGGUACGUCGCCUUGAUCUGCUGCCUCUCCGACGCGCUCCGGUGAGCCAGGAGGCGGCUCAGGCGGCGCGGCUCGUCGCAUGCUCCGUGGAUCUCUCUGCACUCGUUCUCGAACCCUGCGGCGGCAGGAGAACGGGCAGCCAUGCUCGGCACUUCAGCGCCGUGCUGAGGCUUUCGAUGUGUGAACCACGGCUAGUGCAGAGAUGCAUAAGGGAGAGAGGGAGAGAGAGCCAUGUUGUUCUUGGCUUCCUUUUAAUGGAGGAGGGGAGGAGAAAGGAAGAAAGUUAUCUGGAAUUGGCCAGAAAAGGGAGCAAUGGAAAGGAAAGGGGAGGGAAAUGUGUGUCCUACUCAGCAUCGGUUUUCAGUGAUCAUGGGGAUAUUGACUUUAAGGCCUUUUUUGCUUGGACGGAAUGUGAAUUAUUAUUAAAUCAGUCACCCUGAAGUCAUGUCCUAUGAUGGCAGAGUACUAAGCAUUCCUGAAGGAAGAAGAAAGGAAGAAAGUUAUCUGAAUUUAGUCAGAAAAGUAAGCGAUGAAAAGGAAACCAGGAGGCAGAUGUGUUGCCCUACUCAGCAUUGUGGUUUUGAGUGCAGUGAGAGGGUUUUCGGCGCUCAUGCGGAUCUUGACUUUUAAGCCCUUGUUAGCUUCUAGGGAAUGCAGGUAAUUAAAUCAAUCUGAACCUAGGCCAUAUGAUGAUCCAGUUAAUGAGUGUGUAAUCCUCUUAGUCCAACUUAGUCUGGGACAAAGACCAUGUUACCUUGUACAAAUUCCAAAGAAGAAAAAAUACAGAACUAGUACAUUGUAGGAUGAAGUAUGGAUGUAGUACAAAUUUCCGUGGCAACAUUUCCAUGGUGAACAAUUACGUAUCUGGCUCGGUCUCUCGAAGAUGCUCAAAGGGAUAGGAUUGCGUGCAUGUGUUUACAAGUAUAUGAAUGUGUGCGCGUGUUGUGAGCGUCUACGUAUGUGCUUUGAUUCUCAGAAAGAAUAAGCCGGAAGUUACGCAUACAGUUUUUCAUUUUCACGGCACAAAAACCGACCUUUUGUUUUCUCCUUGGACAGUUGCAGUUCAUAAAGAAAAGGAAACAGGGAGAAGCAAGUCCAGGAUGUGGAGGGAGCAAAGGGCAGGCCGGUUAAGUGGUUGACAGCAGAAAAGAUCCUACGUGCCAAACUGAGCAAGACGUAGUAGAUGGAGAUGUCGUAAAGUUGGCUUGGCGCACAAAGGUUUUUCAGAGAAAGGAAGACGCUCCUCCUUUUCUAUUUUGGUUUGGUUUCUGAAGAGAGAAAGGAUCGGAUGGCGCUGCCUUUGGUUGCCGCUCGACAUAAAAUUCGUCGCCGAGGCUGCUUUUGCGGCCGAGCCGACGGUGACUGGCCGUGUGGUGUGGUGGUAUAUCUGGUGGCACCCAUGCCCAUGGGAUAGUCGUGCGUGGACUCCCACCCGGUGGGCGCUGACUCGGAACCCCUCGCUGCCUUCCGCUCAUUUCUUUUGCUCUUGGCCGAAUUUUCGUGUCCUCAUCACGGAACUGGGACGCGCCACCUCUUUCUUUCCAGCUCCAAGUCGGUGCGCCACGUUUGGUUUGUUUUCUUUUCCUUGGGAAAGCACGACCCGCCUAUAGUAACACUGGAUGACUGGAGGGUGUCACGGUUUGUAUCCAUCUUGCCGCCGUGGCCACGAGUGCAGCAGAGUGUGGUGCUUUCUGUCUCAUGGUCACGGCCACCACCGGACGAGACGAGAGGACGUCAACUAUCGUCUGGGGCAGCAAGGCUCCACCAACAACCUGCAUCUUUGCAUGGCGGGCUGCAAGCAGUCCUAUGGAGCUUGACAACCUUUGCCCUGUUUGCCGUGCGGAACCAGAGGAUGCAUUUCAUGUAUUGUGUCGCUGCCCCGAUGCCAGGGAACUAUGGCUUGCUAUGCCAGAUGUGUGGCCCUUGCCGAAGCUCGGUAGUAUGCAUGUCAAACUAUACACGGGGUCGGAAUAAUGGUUACUACGUACGCCAUGGAGCUUGCCAGUGGACCACCGGAUUUAUUUUUAUCAUGCUAUUAUGGAGGAUUUGGUAUAUACAAAAUGAAAGCACGAUAAGCUAGCUUCCCCGAUUCAAGUAUCGGUCAGAUUUCUUCGAAGCUAUGUCCAGUCUAUCUUAAUGAUUGCACAUGAGCCAGAGAGAGGCCCUUUGAAAGGAAAGUCAGUGGCUGUGGAUUACCAACAGGAAAGAAAGCUUUUCUGUUGCUAAUAUGACACCGGGGAAGGCCCAAUCUCCAUGGACUAGACCUAAAGAAGGAUGGCCGAAACUAAAUAGUAAAUACAGAUGGAUCCUUCGCGGCAGCGGACGAAACAGGAGGAAGCGGUAUGGUCUUGCGUGAUCAUAUGGGAGCAAUUAUUAUAUUCAGCGCUUGUCGCUGUCUUUUCCAUUGCACCAGUGCUCUAGAAGCAGAGUUGGCUGCCAUACGUGAGGGGGUAUCAUCAGACUUGCAUUGCAAAGGAGCAGCUUGCCAAUAAUGAUUGAAACAGACUGUCUGGAGGCUCUAACACUUGGGAAGAAAGGAGGAAAUGACAGAUCUUCAAAUAGCUUUCUGCUCAUGGAUCAAUGGAAAUCUUGUCUUGCUCACAUACGUCGUAGUCAAAAUAAUGUCAGCCAUUUGUUGGCAGCUUCUGGUAGGACUUCGGGUUGCACUAUGGUGUGGCUAGGUUCUGGACCUGAUGAGGUUGUUAAUCUCUGUAUCUUCGAUAGUAGUUUUGCUACGUGAGUAACACAAAUAUUUCCCGCAAAAAAAAGAGAGGAUGUCCUUAUUGUCGUGGCGGCGUGGGGGAGGGGUGGUUCCUUGAUUGCGGAUAAACGGGACGUGCAUGUGCUCGUCUGCCUCUCCGCGGCACGGCACACGGCUGUCGGCCUGACCAUUUCCUUUUUUUUGAGGUUUGCCUGACCAUUUCCUAUACGCCGCAUAAAGCAUUUGUUACUUCGCAUCUCAUAGCAAAAGCCCCCCCCCCCNNNNNNNNNNNNNNNNNNNNNNNNNNNNNNNNNNNNNNNNNNNNNNNNNNNNNNNNNNNNNNNNNNNNNNNNNNNNNNNNNNNNNNNNNNNNNNNNNNNNNNNNNNNNNNNNNNNNNNNNNNNNNNNNNNNNNNNNNNNNNNNNNNNNNNNNNNNNNNNNNNNNNNNNNNNNNNNNNNNNNNNNNNNNNNNNNNNNNNNNNNNNNNNNNNNNNNNNNNNNNNNNNNNNNNNNNNNNNNNNNNNNNNNNNNNNNNNNNNNNNNNNNNNNNNNNNNNNNNNNNNNNNNNNNNNNNNNNNNNNNNNNNNNNNNNNNNNNNNNNNNNNNNNNNNNNNNNNNNNNNNNNNNNNNNNNNNNNNNNNNNNNNNNNNNNNNNNNNNNNNNNNNNNNNNNNNNNNNNNNNNNNNNNNNNNNNNNNNNNNNNNNNNNNNNNNNNNNNNNNNNNNNNNNNNNNNNNNNNNNNNNNNNNNNNNNNNNNNNNNNNNNNNNNNNNNNNNNNNNNNNNNNNNNGCGUGAGGUGAUGCAGAAAAGUCAGGCGUGAGGUGAUGCAAACUCGCGACCUCCUCUUUCUGUCUAAAUUGCGCUAACCACUCAUGACAACUCACUUGUCGUGUCGUGACUACCUACAUCCUUUUUUCUCUUCUCUUCUUUCUUUUCUUUAAUCUUCUUUCUAUUUUUCUUUAUUAUUAUUUUUGUUUUUUAAAUACACGAACUUUUUUAAAUCCGAUGCUAUUUUAGCAAAUUAGCGAACUUCUUUAAAAAGAUUUUUUAAUUCAUGAUUUAUUUUUUACUUUUUAUUUUUUUGUAUUUUUUCAAAAGUUAAUGUUGACCGGUCAAACGCGAUCGAGUGACCAGGAACCCAGUCGAGCGCUUGCCUUCUUCUCCACGAACGGGGGCGCGUGAGCGCCAGGACCUGUUCGGGCGUAAGGUGCCGAACGGGAGUUCCCAUCGGUCUCGGCGUCGCAAGUGCCGCAUGCGUGUGCUGACUAUGAAGAAGGAUGAAGUGCGGCAAUGCGGCCAAAAGUCAGGCCGGGGGUCGGGUCCAGGGAUGGGAAUGGGCCGGCCCUCUGUUUUGCUCGAGGGCAUGGAGUUGGCCCAAUGGUCCAUUGGUAACUGAUCUCAUGUCCCAUUGUGUAACAUUUGAUUCGACUGGCAGAAAAUAGGGAGUACUCCCUCUGUAAACUAAUAUAAGAGUGGUUAGAUCACUAUUUUAGUGUCCUAAACGCUCUUAUAUUUGUUUACGGAGGGAGUAGUAAACAACAACAUUUUUUCAAAUAACAUCAUUCAACGGUAGAUUUUUUUUGUUAGCAUUUUAGGAUGUCAAGAGUUUAUUUGUUCAGAUAAAAACAAGGCAUAUAUGAAGCCAUUUCUAUUUCUGCCAUGAACACGUUAGCAUCACAAGUUAUCAUAUUUGCAACUAAUCGUUGGUUGCGGCACAACUCACGCGAUACUAAAAGAGAAUGUAAUUCUCAUUAAAUAAAAUAGAGAAUGUAAUGACUCACGCUAAAAGAGUGCAGUAAUUCGCUCGUGAUUCAGAUGAAAUUCAGACUUCACUACACUUGGAGUAAGAUUUAUGAACUGUUCCAUGAAUGUGAUAAGCUUUUGCAAGUUUAUGAUCGACCAUUUUUGUAUUCUAGUCAUUGUGGACAUUACACAACGCUUGUGGUUUUUCUAUAGCAGGGUAAACAAACAGUCAGCUUCGGAUUCUCAAAAUCCAUAGCCACAACUGAUUCUCAGAAUCUCAGCCAUAGCUGAUUCUCAGGAAUCUGUAGCCCAAACAAAGGGGGCCUAAAUCACAAUGCCAACUCAGUUUUGACAGUAAGCAAAAAAAGCUGUUUCAGUACACACACAGAGCAGCUGGCCAUUGCAUUUGCAUUCGUCUUUUUUUUUAAUACACUGUACCUUACUUUUUUUUUCUUUUUUUAAUAUACUGUGCCUUACAUCUCCCAGCCAGCUUGCUGGAAGCAGAAGCAGAACAAAAAUUGUCCAGCUCUGAAGCAAAAUGAAUGAAUGAAUGCUCCCUCAGCAGCUGCUCUCUACACAUAACCAAGCUUUUCGUGGUUUUUAACAAGCGCCUGCCAGUAGGCAGCGAAAAUCGAACGGAACAGGAAUUCAUCCACGGUUCUAAAUACAAACUCUCAAUGAAACAAGAGGACUGAAACUCGGCACAUCGGCGGAGCGCAUUGGUUGCCACGGCAUCGCCGGAGGCACGAGUCGUCACGACAUCCCCACCGCGUAGAGUGCCGCGUCGGGUUGGUAGUAUCUUGUAUCCGUUAUCUUCGACGGUGGCCAGUACCGGAACACAGAUCUCCCAAGUAUGUUCCUCACCGGGAGCGGCCCCCUGAAACAUCACAGAUCACAAAAGAAAUCAGACCUGGAUUCUAUGCAGCUGAAGCUUAUAGGAUGAAAACGGAGCUUGGUUCGGAAGCAUACCAGUUAUGGGAGUCCAAGCUGUUGUUACGGUUGUCUCCCAGCACAAACACAUACCCUUCCGGUACAAGCUGCAAGAAUAACAGCAGCAAUUAGCUCGCAGAAAUCGGAAAGGCUGACAUCUCUAUAGGCAUUGUCAUGUAUGAAUAUGCAAGGAGAUAUGCAGCGCUGGGUGAGAUAUUCUCUGCUACUAGUGGGCCGGUAUGCGGCGCAAUUGAUACUUUUAAUGCCAAAUUCAUUCCAAAAUUUCAGAUUCUGUUUGCUUUGAGCAAAUAUCAAACAUUUCAAUGGGAUCAUGUCAGCUAAGGCUCGUUUUGUCAUCGCGGUGGCUUUUCAUAAGCGCUUAUUUAUUUAUAUUCGCUCGUAGGUACAACAGUUGGUUAGAAAGAUUUCUUCUUUAGACACUAACAGAAAAAUCUUACUUGCAUUAGUAAAUAUCCCCUAAACUAACUACAGGUCCCAGAAUUCAGCUCAAUUCAGCACAGCAACCGCAAAAAAAGCCUAAAUGUUCAAAGAUCAUACAGUAUAAUGUACACAGCUCACAGCAUACAAAAUACGUAGUGGUAGAGACACUAGAGACUAGACACAGAGGAUAAACAUACCAAUGGUUCCAUCUCAUAGUUGUGUGCCUCCAGCACAAAUUCUUCAUCUUGAAGUACCCCGUUGACCAGUAACUUGCCAUCGCGCACCUAUCAAAGAACCAAGCGAACAACUGUUAUAGCUCGGCUCGAGCAAAGGAUCAAACUUUUUGCAGCACAGCAAUUACUGGUAGCAACGCAAAGAAACAAACACAAGGCACUACCAUUGGGAUAAAAGCUUACUUCGACGUAGUCCCCUCCCUUGGCCACAACCCUCUUGAUGAACACAUCACUGGAGCUGUAGCCCAUAUCCUGCCAUAACAUUGUACUCAAAUUAGCAUCAAAUUCACUGGCAGUAUGAAUCAUGGAAACACUGAAUUGGAGAGACUGGAAAUCAUCAUACCUGAAGAGCUGGGGGAGCACGGAAGAUCACAAUGUCCAAGAUUUCCGGUUCCCGGAACACAUAUGACACCUGUGGAUCACAUUAUUACAACAAAUAUCAAAAACCAAGUAGAGCGAGCAAAAUGACAAACUAAUCAUCAGAUAAUCCUCCGUAAAAUGUUUUACCUUCUCGGCGAGAAUACGGUCCCCGACGUCGAAGGUCGGGUACAUGGACUUGGACGGGAUGGACCUCGGCUCGGCAAGGGAGGAGCUGUAGAGCAGCGGCACGGUCACGGCGGCGAAGGCCGUCUUGGCGUCGUCGGAGCACGAGCUCACCCACUUGGACAGCCAGUUGCUCCUGCUCAUUGUGGCGCUAGCACCGAUGUUCCGGGCAAUUGCGCCAGAAGCAGAAGCAGAAGCUCCGGCGGUUGGAACACCGCUGAACGUCUUCCUGGAGGGACGGAUCGAAGGCAGCGGUGGCGUGGGAGGAGGGGACGAGGGCGCCGAAGACGACGAGGGGGCAAGGUCGCUGCAGGGGAGCCACCUCGCGGUCUGCAAGAACGGGAGGAGGUGCGCCGGGUUGAACAGCCCGAUCGAAAUCGACGACGAGCCGGCCAGAGACGCGGCGCCGGAGAUUCCAGCCGUCGACGACCCCGCCGUCGAACCCUGGGCGAGCACCGACAGCAACCCCACAGCGAGAGGCGGCGGCGGCUUGGAGGAAGAGUACGUCCUCGAAGGGAAAAGAGAGUGGCUUCCGGAGGCGGCAGCGGCGGUGGCGGCGAGGGCCUGGGGCUUGGGGUGGUUGUGGUCGUCGGCGGCGUCAUGGCCGUCACCGCCGCUGGCCCGGAGGCGCUCGGGCUGGUGGCGAGAGGAGGUGAAGAUGCAGAAGGGGCGCCAGGAUCCCUCCUGGAGGAACCGGCACCCGGCGGAGGCGGAGGACCCGCAGCGGAGGCCGAGCGACGCGGCGAGGUUCUGCGCCACGUAGCCGGAGUAGGAGACGGUGAUGCGGAUCGCCAUGGCGAGCAAGCAGAGGAGCCGUAGUGUUACCAAGAAGAGCUGGAUUGGGCGGUCGGGGGAGAACGAGCAACGGGAGACGCGAUCGGCUACUGAUUGCAGACCAUACCGGCGGGGUUCGACUGGCGGGGCGGCUGGGCGGGGGANNNNNNNNNNNNNNNNNNNNNNNNNNNNNNNNNNNNNNNNNNNNNNNNNNNNNNNNNNNNNNNNNNNNNNNNNNNNNNNNNNNNNNNNNNNNNNNNNNNNNNNNNNNNNNNNNNNNNNNNNNNNNNNNNNNNNNNNNNNNNNNNNNNNNNNNNNNNNNNNNNNNNNNNNNNNNNNNNNNNNNNNNNNNNNNNNNNNNNNNNNNNNNNNNNNNNNNNNNNNNNNNNNNNNNNNNNNNNNNNNNNNNNNNNNNNNNNNNNNNNNNNNNNNNNNNNNNNNNNNNNNNNNNNNNNNNNNNNNNNNNNNNNNNNNNNNNNNNNNNNNNNNNNNNNNNNNNNNNNNNNNNNNCGGGGGAUGGCGAGGCCGCGGCGAGCCGGGGGAGAGGCCGGUGGAUCGGGCGGCGCUGGGUCGGGGGAGGUGCGGCGGGGUCAGGCGGCGGCGGCGGGGGGGUUAGCUCCCGGCGAGUCGGCCUCGCCGGAGGGCGAGGUCAACGGGGGCGGUCAAUGGGGUAGGCGGCGGUGUGGGUGUUGCGGGGGAGGGAAAGCGCGAAGCCGACGGGCGGGUGGUGUAUAUAGACGCGUGCGCGCUCACUGUUGACGGUGAGGUGGACAUCCCCUGGCCCCAAGCAUUUUUUAGAAUUUUCCCGGUAAUUACUAUUGGAGAUGGGUUCAACGACAGAGGAAAAGAGUGAGGAAUGAGCAAACUUGGGGCAUGUUCGGAGUCUCGCCACUCCGCACGACUCCGCUCCCGGAGUGGCCCGACCUUCAGUUGAAAACACGGGGUGGAGAAAAAGAUGCUUCACAGAUUCUCGUAUUUCUCGAAGCGGUUGAUUGCCGAACAGAUCUUUAUUACUAACUGAAUCUUACUAUAUCGAAAUUUUGGUUCUAAUAACUCUAGGAAGGUACAUUUCCACUAUGCAAAACCGCGAGAAGAAAUAAUAUGGAUGUCUUUGCAAUCGUGUAUUGAGGUUUUUUACAAGAUCGCAUGGUCGAGAAACGUAAGAAAGCAAGAAAACACAAUAAUUUGAUAGCAAUGCAACUUAAAGCAGACAACUACAAAAUAUGAAAAGUGUAAAUAGUUGAUUCGAGUAACUCUUUAGAGUCAUAAUGCAUAUGAGCUUUUUUUUUACAUCACUUUUUUGUAGGAAGUCUAUGGAAUGCAUGGUCGAGAAACGUAAGAAAGCGAAUGUAUGUGAAGCAGACAACUGCAAAAAUAUGAAAAGUGUGAAUAGUUGAUUAGAGUAACUCUAGUAGAGCCGAACCAUCAUCAUAAUGUAUAUAUGGAGUGGGCUCCACGUGCAUACGAAGACCGUCAACGUGAUGUGCAAGCUCAACGCCUUUGUAUUCGUUGCAUCCGUGUCAUGGGACUCACUCGUCAAUGAAACGUCAGUUUCCUUCGAUCUCCCUUCGAUUCCCACGUGAAAUCCCCUUUGCGCCAAACAAUCGGGUUGGAUGACGUGCGCCUCAAAGGUUGGCUCCGAGGCGUAAAUUUGAAGACUGAGAGGCCACAUAUAGAGGGCGCUUCAUAAAUUACGAUGAUUCUGACAGGCAUGAUGAUUAUGUUUUUGUGAUUUUCUUUUUACCAAAAGCACAUUAACAGUUAUUAUGACGAUUUGUCAAGUAUAAAGACUCUGUUUCCCAUGUUUCCGGGUUUUUAUAAUUUUGCAAACCAAAAGGAAGCGCAGGGGAGAAUGACGAAGAUCGAGAUCCUUUGGAAAAAAAAAAACAAAUCCUUUUUUUUUCUUUUAGAAUCAUCCGAACCCUCCCCCCCGGUGGCCAGUUUGAAGCUGCCAUGGCCCAUGGAAAGGCGAUGGCGACUCGAAAAUUUAACGGAGCCAAAUUAGACCAGACAGGGCAGGCCGCGACUGCUGCCUCCCACCGCCACCUCCCGCAGAACGCCACUGUACAAAUGUAUGUUUAUCUGUAGCUCCGUUGACGGUAACGGUAACGUAACGCAAUGUUUUAUGCAUAGCGGCUUCGUCGCUCUAUUACACCACGUGAUCGGUAUAGCUGCGCUGCUUCUCGGCAACUUCCGCUGCCCCAGUGACAGUGAGUGAGGCCUGGCCAGUGAUUGGUUGGGCACGGUGGCAACCAGAAUUGCGUGCUCCGAAUCGACCGGAUAACUGGAACAGGGAAAACGGGGAGCUGCGCGUUCACAUACAUGAUACUGGUGGCUGAGAACUAUGGAUAUGAUCGUCGCAGAAUAGUAAGUAAAACAGAAGCCGAGAAUUAUGUUGUUGUUUUUUCAACCACCCCACUGUACUUACUUAUGUGUUUGACAUGCGGAGAGGGGAGAAAAUUCUUUGUGCCCCAAAGGAUGCGAUGGUCAAACAGCACAACAUGCGUCGGUUCGGCUAAACAAAUUGGCGGACAGAAAGGAGUCACGGCGUGUCAGUAAAAUAUACCGUAACCGGUGAAAUUCGAACUAGAAUGCUCGAACAUGUCAACAAACAAAUCGAGCCGAUCCAUCCUAGAAGACCGGUACGGUCGCAGACACGCGGGCCCGUCGACGUGUACGCGACCCGCCCACCAGCGAAAAGAUUCCGGGGAGGGAGCCACGGAUGUCGGGGCGGGCAGGCAGCCGUAAGCGCUGACGAUUCCCAGUUCUGGUAUCUCGUCUCGGACGAUGAAGGAUCCGUCGCGAUCAGGUGACGACCGUGCCGGUGCUGCUACAACGGCGUGUCAGUAAAAAUCUAGACGUGUUCGGAUUUAGUGAAACGUUCGACGCACCAACAAGAGGGAUGGGAUGAAUCUUCCUUUCCCUGGAUGGAAAUGGCCUAUCAGAACUUACACGGAAGGAACAGGAGCGGACCUUUUCCCGGUCGCCGAGGGUUUCUACAUUUGUCCCGCUCUACGUGGCGGAACUAAUUAACCGUGCGUGUUGAAAACUAACUUGUCAACCCUCCUCUCCCUGUGUGCACAGAGCGGGAGCUUCUUCACUCAUCAUGCCACAGUCAAAACGAGAAACAGAACAAAAAUACGUAUAUGGGGGAAGUCAGCGUCCCAUCCCUUUCUUCGACCAGAAGGAGCCUUCAGUUCAAGUGUUGGUGCCGUGCAUUCAUGCAUCUAUAUCCAUGCACGCCGAGUGGAGAGACCUCUCCGCAGUGCCAUACAUUAACAUAGAACCAUCUUUGACCUGGCGUGCCCGUUCCCCCGAACGAGACAAGUCGUAGCAGCUUCAUCAUCAUCAUAACAAUAUGCAAUGAGAAUCACUAGGAGGAGCAUCAAUUUUCUCCUAACCCAACACCCAACAGCCAAGAGCCCGACUCGAAAAGAAACCCCUGAAAAUUAUGCUCCAGUGAUAAAAUAAAAAAUAAAAUAGACAGGCUGCAAGACCAAGGUUCUGCAAUGGCAAUCACGAACUAGGUGUACUAUUACAAGUUUACAACCUUUGCCUCUAAAAAUAGGAACGAUUAGCUCUGUUAGCACCGAGGAGGUCCACAGGCAGAACGAUGCUAACAACAAGCGUUAGACAAAUGAAUCUGGUACCAGGCAAUUGACAAGAUGGAUAGAUAGUCACUCAAGCUCCACCGGUAGAAUUGCCUGGAAAAUUAAUUACAAGUUUUUUCUUUCCUCAGUAGACAGGAGAUACAAGAGGCGCCCGCCCGCAUUUCACGGCCGAUCCAAUCAUUGUCAACUUACAUCUAGCGCCGGCCUCGCGCCUUUGACCUCCCUUUCUGCACCGCACAAAAAUAACAAGGUGUGAGAAGAUUGUCGAUUUGAUAGCUUACUACAUCGUGUGUGAAACAAAAACAAAAACACUUGUGCUUGGCAUUGUCAUAUCAUUGUCGAACACUGCUAAUGAACAAAGGAUGCUGUCGUAAGAUGAUGGGAAUUUUACUCACAGAUGUGCCACCAAAGCUGGACCCUGAAGCUGUAGCCCCACCUGUGGGUAGGUAGGUAGACAAAUGGAAUGUCAUACAAAUCACAGAAAGAAAUGAAUUGACAAAGGAGAAUAUUGUUUAGUUCUAACUGAAAGUAUGAAUCACAACAUGGGCAGUAACGAUACUAACAAAUCAAAUCAAAAACCGUCGUAAAGUAAAGCAGUCACAGUGUAUGUACAGACAUGCUAGCUUUAUUGUAACUAGCUGAAGUAAUAAUGCACAGAUCACGUACACUAGUGCUGUCAUCGACAUAUUGCACUAAAGUAUUACAGUAACAUUUAGAUGACACAGUUAAUUCCAUUGCAGCUACAAUAUGCCAUAAAGAAACAAAAAUGCAGACACGCCAAAACUGCUGGGAAUCAUCAUAGGGAUCCAGCAUUCAACUGAGAACAUGUCACCUCAAAUAAAAAGAUUAGCGGUUUUGCAGCAUGUACUGUACAAGACUUUUUAAGAUCCCGAUGGUGCUGACACUAACAAUUUGUAGCAAGGAUACAUUCAGAUGCAAUUGCAGCUACAAAAUGUGAGUCAUCAAAGUAAUGCAAAUUUCUAAACACUUCAAACCAUUCGGAUCUGGGAGAGCCAUCAAAGUAAUGCAGUACAGCACAUAAAACGAUCAUCGGUUUUUACUGUGUGUAACUGACAUUUCUCAUAGAACCUUUACCCUCCAUGACCAGAGAUCAAUUAAAAUGAACAUCAAGUAACGUACAUCACAAGGAAGUUUGAGUACCUCCAAAUGGCGUAGAGAAUAGUGAAGUUCCAGUUAAAGCAGGCGUUGAAGGAAAAGAUGGGGUGAUACCCCCAAAUCCAGACGGAGUUGGUGUUGAUCCAAGAGUAGGAGUGGAGGAUGUCCCAAAUGGUGUGGACAGCGAGGCUGAUCCAGUUGUACCGAAAAGGUUAGUUGUGAGACUUGAAGUUGUUGGUGUUGAAAAGAGACUUGAAGUGGAUGGAGCAGAGGCCGGCAUGCUAAAAGCUGUGAAGGCACUCGAGGAAGUUCCUCCAGAAGGGAGCAAAGAUUGCUGUGGUUGGCUUGUUGCUGGUGCAGCAAUUUGUGUUGUGGGCUGUACAGGAGCAGGCAAAUGCAAUGUCGGAUGGACCCUUUUGGCAGCUGCUUCUUCUUUGGCUGCUUCUCUUCUAUUUGCCUCUAGAAAUGGAUCAUUUGCAUUGCCCAGACGGCGCUGACCGUGUAGAUAUUCAGUUUUCAUCGACACAACAUAUUGAUGAAGAUUUUCCACCUGUACAGAAAGUAACAUCAGAUAUUCAGUUUUCAUCGUCAUAAUAACAAAAACUUUUCCCCCUCUUAUAUUGUCCAUAUACUAUUUGAUUUUACUAGAAAAUUCAUCAGUUAACUGCUUUAUAUAUAGGCACUAAUAAUCAACAAUAAAUGACAGAUAUCAUGGUCGCAACUUCAAAAAUACUAAUUUGAACAGUACAUGUUAGAUUUCUCAUUUCCAUAUAGACAAGGUGUCACCAUAGAAGUAACAUAGAUGAAUAAUAAGAUGUUACCUUUGAAGCGACAUAGAUGAAAUAGUCAUGCACAUUCGACAUAACUUUUGGUAGAGAUUCCACAGAAGAUGAUGAUCUUUUAUUGCUCUCGAUUUGAACCAGCUGCUCUAGUUCAGUAAUCCACUUGCAGCAUUCGUCAAGAUACUUCUCAAACUUGUUGACAGUUUGCAGCAUAAAAAGGGAAGGCCUCUUUGGGACGCCACUAUAGAAAUCAUUGGUUGGUCCAGGCUGAUUGGGCAGAGCUCCAGCAGGUCCAGAAGGAUUUGAAGAACCUGUGGCUGAUUUGAGGAACCUUGGUCUCAACAUCAUAUAUGAGCGAAUAGCAAAUUCUGUGUUCCACAUCAUUUCAUUGACAACAGUCAUCAACUCCUGAACAGAUGCCUUCUCUCUCUCAAUUAUGGUUGCAGUCCCUGCGAGUUCCUGUUAAAGCAAAUGAAUAUUUAUCCGCCCAAGGAAGGAUGUUCUAGGAAUAGGUAGCAUGUGCUUUAUGAAUGUAUGUAUAUUACCCAAUUAGGAAUAGAUAUCAUGUGGUCAUGAAAUCUUCCUAGUACUCAAUAACACUCCCUAUUUCCCAAAUAUCCUUACAGUUAUGGAUUACUAAAAAAGAUGUCAUUCUGGAGGACCGAGGCCGAAUCAGAACUCCCAAUAUCUUCUAAAUUAUUCAGAUUAGAUACUUGAUGAAAAUCGUAUGUGUGAAUUUGUCAUGAAAAGGUACUUCCAUAAUAUGAAAUUCUGUGGGGUGUUACAACUAUAUUAUGAUAAAAAAAACAGUGGGAGAAGUUGCAUUUGGAGACCAUGCCAGUGUCCAAGAGGACUGCUUUCAUAGAAAUGAGGGAAUACAAGGACCGUUACUUCGAAAUAAAAUAGUCAAUGCUACAUGGGAUAUUAACUUCAUGUUUUCCUCUCUUUCAUUUUAAAUUUUUUUGCAGAACUCCAAAAAUAUAAUGGCUGGCCCAAUCUUAAGGUAUACCCUUAGCCUGCACUGUUUCACAAACUUAUUAACAUUUCUGUGCUAAUAUAUUAAUUUAGCUGUAUAAACGUCCUUUUUUCUUUCACAAGAAACAGUUUAGUCACUAUUCCUGACAGAGGAAUUUGUGAUUGUGAACUAAGCUUUACCAUCUAACGAUUAAAUUGCAUAUCUUACAGUCUUGCUAAUAUUGCUUACUGAGAAAAUUCCAUUACAGAAUACUCUGUGCUAAGACGAUACAUGUCCAUCCAUCAUUCAGGGAACUACAAAAUAAUACGCAACAUUCAGGCUACUCUGUUCCAGUGGGGAAAAAAGGAAUGCCUACGCGCUACUAGGUGACAACAUACCGCCUAGCGCUUAAUCAUGCUAUGCAUGCGCUCAAGUGAGAUAGGCACUAGGCAGUGACAAAACACACAAUUAUCUUCUUGGGUCAAGUUUAUGAUAUCAAAGAUGCAGACGCAUAUCUUUUCCAAUUGAGUGUUGAAGGUGAAUGAGCACAAUCCUAUUUGUCUCCAUUGCACUUCACUAGCUCAUUGAUCUUCCAGUGGUCAAUGUGUGAAAGUUCAUUGCUUCAGAACAAGACAAAAACAAAGAUACAUACACUCCAUGCAAUGAGAAACUUGAGCAAGGGAAAUAGUCGAACCUGAGCAAUGUGACUUGCAUCGAGCUCAAAAUUGACAUUCGAGAUUGAGGAGUCAUGAAGGCGACUGCACUGAUCCAACCUUUCACUCUCGUCCUUGUACUCCCGUAUUUUAUCCCUACAAGAUUGAUUGUUAGCAAACCACGUUCUAGGUAUUUUCAGCACAAAAAUCUUCCAAGUAAUUCAGAGUGUAAACUGCGGCUGUAUGACAACAAUUGCUAAACAGGUAAUGGAAGGAUACAAACUCUGUAACCCUAAGCUCAUAAAAUUGACCCCUCCAUGCCAAUAGAAGCAGCAGCUUGACAACCCAGCUUAACUGGCAACACCAAAAGCACCUGUCUUUCGCCCAAUACCUCAAAUCAACACUAAAUGGACACUACUAAACCACCUCAAACAGAAACCCUCAACACCAGUAGUACAAUAAUUCAGCAAAUUAAGAAAAUCGAUGCCUGGGAAACUUGAAAAACGUAAUCUUAUCGCACAAUGUCUUAAUUUGAAUCCCACACGCGCAUAAAAACUACUCCACUCAUCCAACCCAACGACAGUGCAUUUCACUAAGCUGACCUAGUAUAGCAGUAUGGCACAAUAGGGUAAACAACAAGGGGUGAGAUUCCAAUCAAUUGGAGCAAACCAAGAGAUUAACCAAAACAACUGUAACCAAUGACGCCCCAACUCAUCACACAGAAAAGAAGCAUGCUUUUUUGACCGGAAAAUAGAAAGAAAAAUUAGGGAAGCCAUACUCGAUCUGAAGCAGCGCCUUCUGCGAGUCGGCGUGGAGCUCAUCCCACUUCGUGUUGUACCCUGCGGGCUUCCCCUCCUUUGUGUACAGCAUCAGCUGCUGCUGCUGCUGCUGAGGCUGCGCCGUCGGUGCGGCCAGUUGCUGCUGCUGCUGGGGUUGCUGGAAGUUAAACUGGAACGGCGAAGGCGACUGCGCCGGCGCCUGAGUCUGCGCCGGCGACGGAGUCUGAAACGGGUUCUGCGGCGCUGGGGUUUGGAACGGAUUCUGCUGCGUUGGCGUCUGGAAAGGGUUCUGCUGCGCCGGCGAGGAGAAGGAGAACGCCAUUGCCGCGGAUGGCGGAGGGGCUCCUCUCCGGCGAGGGCGGCGCGGGGAGCCGGGGAUACAGGGACGAGGAGAUCGAGACGGAGUUAGUGGGCUCUGGGCCGCGUGGGCUCGGCGAGUUCUUUAAACCCUAGGAGACCGGAAAGAGAAUCGGGAGCGGAGUGGACAACUUUACGGUUUUGCCCCCGGGUAGAAGAUUCAAAAGCGAUUUUUUUCACGAAUACGCUAAAGAUACGUAUCUUUUCAUCGAUAGAAGGAGAGUGUUUACAGCAUGAGAUUAAGACGACACACUAUGCCAUGUACACAAGGCAUGGAAGUGGUCGUCGAGCAAACAGAUGGGGUUGCUCAUCCCCUCAACAUCCUAUCCUAGGUCUCUCGGAUGAUGUUACCAAUCACGGCGGCGCCGGCCCGAGCCCACAGGCGCGCUUCGUCUUUGAGCGUGGAGCAUAGGUGAGAGACGAAGGGUCGGUCAUCGUCGAAGGUGCAGCCAUUCCGGUGCUUCCAAAUCCACCAAGCGGUGAGGAUGAUGAGGGAGGACAAUCCUUUAUGCGCGGCAGCGGGCGCGAGGGCGCAAGAAGAUGCCCACCACACAAGGAAGUCGGUGUCUACGGUCGGCGGGUCCGUAGGAGAUCUAGCCCAAGCAAGAAUAUCAUGCCACACCUGGCGGGAGAAGGAGCAGCCAGCAAGCAAGUGCUGCAUCGUUUUGUAUUCUUGAUCACAGAGGGCACAAGCGGGUUCAUGAGGCAGGCCGUGUCUAGCAAGACGCUCCGCCGUCCAGCACCGGUUUUGCAGAGCUAGCCAGAUGAAGAACUUGACGCGAAGUGGUGCCCAAGAUUUCCAUGUGAGCUUCCAAUGUGGUUCCUCGCAAGCUCCAAGGAAGAGGGCCUGGUAGCAUGAACUGGCAGAGUAGAUGCCCGAGGUAGUCCAUCGCCAUCGGAUGGUGUCUGGGGAGUCGGUGAGCUGAAUGUGGCGCACCGCCCGCCAGAGCUGCACGUAUUGCACCAUGGCGGCAGGGCCAAGAGUGCCAUGGAUGUCCUGCACCCAGGAACGCUGUGAUAGGUAGUCUCUGACCGUGCAAAUCUUCCGCCGCCUCUUCGGGAUCAUUUGAAAUAGUUGAGGAGCGAUCUCGGCCACCGAUCGUCCGUCGAUCCAGUGGUCGGUCCAGAACUUGCACUUGUCGCCAUUGCCAACGCUCCAUGUGGUUGAGGCGCGGAAGAUAGCGCUGACAUUUGCAUCAUGCUGGAUGUGCAAGUGGCUCCAGGGGCGCGAGUGAUCGGUGAGCUGGAGCCAGAGCCAAAGCAUUCGGAGGGCGAUGCUCGCGCGAUGCAGAUCACGGAUGCCCAGCCCGCCAAGAUGAAGUGGGCGGCAGACUGAAGGAAAUAUGCCCUAGAGGCAAUAAUAAAGUUGUUAUUUAUAUUUCCUUAUAUCAUGAUAAAUGUUUAUUAUUCAUGCUAGAAUUGUAUUAGCCGGAAACUUAGUACAUGUGUGAACAUAUAGACAAACAGAGUGUCCCUAGUAUGCCUCUACUUGACUAGCUCGUUAAUCAAAGAUGGUUAAGUUUCCUGACCACAGACAUGUGUUGUCAUUUGAUGAAUGGAUCACAUCAUUAGAGAAUGAUGUGAUGGACAAGACCUAUCCGUUAGCUUAGCAUAAUGAUCAUUUAGUUUUAUUGCUAUUGCUUUCUUCAUGACUUAUACAUGUUCCUCUGACUUAUACAUGUUCCUCUGGCUAUGAGAUUAUGCAACUCCCGAAUACCGGAGGAACACUUUGUGUGCUAUCAAACGUCACAACGUAACUGGGUGAUUAUAAAGAUGCUCUACAGGUGUCCCGAUGGUGUUUGUUGAGUUGACAUAGAUCAAGAUUAGGAUUUGUCACUUUGAGUAUCGGAGAGGUAUCUCUGGGCCCUCUCGGUAAUGCACAUCACUAUAAGCCUUGCAAGCAAUGUGACUAAUGAGUUAGUUACGGAUGAUGCAUUACGGAACGAGUAAAGAGACUUGCCGGUAACGAGAUUGAACUAGGUAUGAUGAUACCGACGAUCGAAUCUCGGGCAAGUAACAUAUCGAUGACAAAGGGAAUGACGUAUGUUGUUAUGCGGUUUGACCGAUAAAGAUCUUCGUAUAAUAUGUAGGAGCCAAUAUGAGCAUCCAGGUUCCGCUAUUGGUUAUUGACCGGAGAUGUGUCUCGGUCAUGUCUACAUAGUUCUCGAACCCGUAGGGUCCGCACGCUUAACGUUUGAUGACGAUUUGUAUUAUGAGUUAUGUGUUUUGGUGACCGAAGUUUGUUCGAAGUCCCGGAUGAUAUCACGGACAUGACGAGGAGUCUCGAAAUGGUCGAGAGGUAAAGAUUGAUAUAUUGGAAGGUUAUAUACGGACACCGGAAUGGUUCCGAUAAGGUUCGGGGAUUUUUUGGAGUACCGGGAGGCUACCGGAACCCCCCGGGAAAGUUAUUGGGCCUAAUGGGCCAUAGUGGAGGAGAGGAGGCAGGCCACGGGAGGAGGCGCGCGCCCCCCUUGCCCCAAUCCGAAUUGGACAAGGGGAGGGGGCGCGGCUGAUACGUCUCCAACGUAUCUAUAAUUUUUGAUUGUUCCAUGCUAUUAUAUAUUCUGUUUUGGAUGUUUAAUGGGCUUAUUUAUAAACUUUUAUAUUAUUUUUGGGACUAACCUAUUAACCGGAGGCCCAACCCAAAUUGCUGUUUUUUUGCCUAUUUCAGUGUUUCGCAGAAAAAGAAUAUCAAACAGAGUCCAAACGGAAUGAAACCUUCGUGGACGUGAUUUUGGAACAAACAUGAUCCAGAGGACUUGGAGUGGACGUUAAGCAACCAACGAGGCGGCCACGAGGCACGGGGGCGCGCCUACCCGCCCCCCUCCCCAGGCGCGCCCUCCACCCUCGUGGGCCCCUCGUGGCUCCACCGACCUACUUCUUCCUCCUAUAUAUACCUACGUACCCCCAAACCAUCAGAAGCGCCCACGAAAACCUAAUUCCACCGCCGCAACCUUCUGUACCCGUGAGAUCCCAUCUUGGGGCCUUUUCCGGCGUCCUGCCGGAGGGGGCAUUGAUCACGGAGGGCUUCUACAUCAACACCAUAGCCUCUCCGAUGAUGUGUGAGUAGUUUACCUUAGACCUUCGGGUCCAUAGUUAUUAGCUAGAUGGCUUCUUCUCUUUCUUUGGAUCUCAAUACAAAGUUCUCCUCGAUUCUCUUAGAGAUCUAUUAGAUGUAAUCUUCUUUUGCGGUGUGUUUGUCGAGAUCCGAUGAAUUGUGGGUUUAUGAACAAGAUUAUCUAUGAACAAUAUUUGAAUCUUCUCUGAAUUCUUUUAUGUAUGAUUGGUUAUCUUUGCAAGUCUCUUCGAAUUAUCAGUUUGGUUUGGCCUACUAGAUUGAUCUUUCUUGCAAUGGGAGAAGUGCUUAGCUUUGGGUUCAAUCUUGCGGUGCUCGAUCCCAGUGACAGUAGGGGAAACGACACGUAUUGUAUUGUUGCCAUCGAGGAUAAAAAGAUGGGGUUUAUAUCAUAUUGCAUGAGUUUAUCCCUCUACAUCAUGUCAUCUUGCUUAAAGCGUUACUCCGUUCUUAUGAACUUAAUACUCUAGAUGCAUGCUGGAUAACGGUCGAUGUGUGGAGUAAUAGUAGUAGAUGCAGGCAGGAGUCGGUCUACUUGUCACGGACGUGAUGCCUAUAUACAUGAUCAUACCUAGAUAUUCUCAUAACUAUGCUCAAUUCUAUCAAUUGCUCGACAGUAAUUCGUUCACCCACCCUAAUACUUAUGCUCUUGAGAGAAGCCACUAGUGAAACCUAUGGCCCCCGGGUCUAUUUUCCAUCAUAUUAAUCUCCCGUUAUUUCCAUUACUGUUUACUUGCUUUCUUUACUUUUACUCUUUAUCAUAAAAAUACCAAAAAUAUUAUCUUAUCAUCUCUAUCAGAUCUCAUUCUCGUAAGUGACCGUGAAGGGAUUGACAACCCCUUUAUCGCGUUGGUUGCGAGGUUCUUAUUUGUUUGUGUAGGUGCAAGGGACUUGAGCGUGACCUCCUACUGGAUUGAUACCUUGGUUCUCAAAAACUGAGGGAAAUACUUACGCUACUUUACUACAUCACCCUUUCCUCUUCAAGGGAAAACCAAUGCAGUGCUCAAGAGGUAGCAAGAAGGAUUUCUGGCGCCGUUGCCGGGGAGGUGUGCGCCAAGUCAAGUCAAGACAUACCAAGUACCCAUCACAAACUCUUAUCCCUCGCAUUACAUUAUUUGCCAUUUGCCUCUCGUUUUCCUCUCCCCCACUUCAUCCUUGCCAUUUUAUUCGCCCUCUCUUUUCUGUUCGCCCUCUUUUUCGCUUGCUUCUUGUUUGCUCGUGUGUUGGAUUGCUUGCUUGUCACGAUGACUCAAGAUAAUACUAAAUUGUGUGACUUUGCCAAUACCAAAAACAAUGAUUUUCUUAGCACUCCGAUUGCUCCUCUUACCGAAGCUGAAUCUUGUGAAAUUAAUGCUGCUUUGCUGAAUCUUAUCAUGAAAGAUCAAUUUGCCGGCCUUCCUAGUGAAGAUGCCGCUACCCAUCUAAAUAGCUUUGUUGAUUUGUGUGAUAUGCAAAACAAGAAAGAUGUGGAUAAUGAUAUUGUUAAAUUGAAGCUAUUUCCGUUUUCUCUUAGAGAUCGUGCUAAAACUUGGUUUUCGUCUUUGCCUAAAAAUAGUAUUGAUUCUUGGAAUAAGUGCAAAGAUGCUUUUAUCUCUAAGUAUUUUCCUCCCGCUAAAAUCAUCUCUCUUAGAAACGAUAUUAUGAAUUUUAAGCAACUUAAUCAUGAACAUGUUGCACAAGCUUGGGAGAGAAUGAAAUUAAUGAUACGUAAUUGCCGUACUCAUGGUUUGAACUUAUGGAUGAUUAUACAAAAAAUUUAUGCCGGAUUGAAUUUUGCUUCUAGAAAUCUUUUAGAUUCGGCCGCGGGAGGCACUUUUAUGGAAAUCACUUUAGGAGAAGCUACUAAACUCCUAGAUAAUAUUAUGGUUAAUUAUUCUCAAUGGCACCCUGAAAGAUCUACUAGUAAAAAGGUGCAUGCGAUAGAAGAAAUUAAUGUUUUGAGUGGAAAGAUGGAUGAACUUAUGAAAUUGUUUGCUAAUAAGAGUGUUUAUUCUGAUCCCAAUGAUAUGCCUUUGUCUACUUUGAUUGAGAAUAAUAAUGAAUCUAUGGAUGUGAAUUUUGUUGGUAGGAAUAAUUUUGGUAACAACGCUUAUAGAGGAAAUUUUAAUUCUAGGCUGUAUCCUAGUAAUUCCUCUAAUAAUUAUGGUAAUUCCUACAACAACUCUUAUGGAAAUUUUAAUAAGUUGCCCUCUGAUUUUGAGACUAGUGUUAAAGAGUUUAUGAAUUCGCAAAAGAAUUUCAAUGCCUUGCUUGAAGAAAAAUUGCCUAAGAUUGAUGAAUUGGCUAGGAACGUGGAUAGAAUUUCUCUUGAUGUUGAUUCUUUGAAACUUAGAUCUAUUCCACCUAAGCAUGAUAUCAAUGAGUCUCUCAAAGCCAUGAGAAUUUCCAUUGAUGAGUGCAAAGAAAGAACCGCUAGGAUGCGUGCUAAGAAAGAUUGCUUUGUGAAAGCGUGUUCUUCUAGUUUUUAUGAGAAUAAAGAUGAAAAUCUAAAAGUUAUUAAUGUGUUCCCUAUUAAAUCUUUGUUUUGCAAUAUGAAUCUUGAUAAUGAUGGGACUGGAGAUGAGUCAACUUUAGUUAGAAGGCGUCCCAAAAAUUCGGAGUUUUUAGAUCUUGAUGCAAAAUUUGGUAAAAGUGGGAUUGAAGAGGUUAAAACUUUAGAUAGCAAUGAACCCACUAUUUUGGAUUUAAAGGAAUUUAAUUAUGAUAAUUGCUCUUUGAUAGAUUGUAUUUCCUUGUUGCAAUCCGUGCUAAAUUCUCCGUAUGCUUAUAGUCAAAAUAAAUCUUUUACUAAACAUAUCGUUGAUGCUUUGAUGCAAUCUUAUGAAGAAAAACUUGAGUUGGAAGUUUCUAUCCCUAGAAAACUUUAUGAUGAAUGGGAUCCUACAAUUAAAUUUAAAAUUAACAAUCAUGAAUGCUAUGCUUUGUGUGAUUUGGGUGCUAGUGUUUCCACGAUUCCAAAAACUUUGUGUGAUUUGUUAGGUUUCCAUGAAUUUGAUGAUUGCUCUUUAAACUUGCAUCUUGCGGAUUCCACUAUCAAAAAACCUAUGGGAAGAAUUAAUGAUGUUCUUAUUGUUGCAAAUAGGAAUUAUGUGCCCGUAGAUUUCAUUGUUCUUGAUAUAGAUUGCAAUCCUUCAUGUCCUAUUAUUCGUGGUAGACCUUUCCUUAGAACGAUUGGUGCAAUCAUUGAUAUGAAGGAAUGGAGUAUUAGAUUCCAAUUUCCGUCAAGGAAAGGCAUGGAACACUUCCCUAGAAAGAAAAUUAAAUUACCAUAUGAAUAUAUUAUGAGAGCCACUGAUGGAUUGCCUACCAAAGAUGGCAAUACCUAGAUCCAUCCUUGUUUUUAUGCCUAGCUAGGGGCGUUAAACGAUAGCGCUUGUUGGGAGGCAACCCAAUUUUAUUUUUAGUUUUUUGCUUUUUGGUUCUGUUUAGGAAUAAAUCUUUGAUCUAGCCUCUGGUUAGAUUUGUUUUUGUGUUUUAAUUAGUGUUUGUGCCAAGUUAAACCUAUAGGAUCUUCUUGGAUGAUAGUUAUUGAUCUUGCUAAAAAUUUCAGAAACUUUCUGUUCACAAAAAUAAUUGUUAAAAAUUACCAGAACGUGAUAUAAUAUUGAUUCAAAUUGCAGCAGAUCAAUAGACAAAUUAUUUAGGUCGUCCUAUUUUGGCAGAAUUUUUAGAGUUCCAGAAGUUUGUGUUGGUUACAGAUUACUACAGACUGUUCUGUUUUUGACAGAUUCUGUUUUUCGUGUGUUGUUUGCUUAUUUUGAUGAAUCUGUGGCUAGUAAAAGAGCUUAUAAACCAUAGAGAAGUUGGAAUACAGUAGGUUUAACACCAAUAUAAAUAAAGAAUGAGUUCAAUACAGUACCUUGAAGUGGUGUUUUGUUUUCUUUCGCUAACGGAGCUCGCGAGAUUUUCUAUUUGUGUUGUGAAGUUUUCAAGUUUUGGGUAAAGAUUUGAUGGAGUAUGGAACAAGGAGUGGCAAAAGCCUAAGCUUGGGGAUGCCCAAGGCACCCUAAGGUAAAUCCAUGGACACCAAAAAGCCAAAGCUUGGGAUGCCCCGGAAGGCAUCCCCUCUUUCUUCCUCAUCCAUCGGUAAAUUUACCUGGAGCUAUAUUUUUAUUCACCACAUGAUAUGUGUUUUGCUUGGAGCGUCUUGUAUGAUUUGAGUCUUUGUUUGUUAGUUUGCCACAAUCAUCCUUGCUGUACACACCUUUUGAGAGAGACACACAUGAUUCGGAAUUUGUUAGAAUACUCUAUGUCCUUCACUUAUAUCUUUUGAGCUAUAUAGUUUUUGCUCUAGUGCUUCACUUAUAUCUUUUAGAGCACGGCGGUGGUCGUAUUUUAUAGAAAUUAUUGAUCUCUCAUGCUUCACUUAUAUUAUUUUGAGAGUCUUAAACAACAUGGUAAUUUGCUUUAAUUGUGAAAUUAAUCUUCCAUAUUGAGUUCAUUGAAUAUCAUGAGAAGUUACAUACUUGAUAAGUGUUUUGAGAUAUAAAGGUGGUAAUAUUAGAGUGUGCUAGUUGAGUAAUUGUGAAAUUGAGAAAUACUUGUGUUAAAGUUGUCAAGUCCCGUAGCAUGCACGUAUGGUAAAAGUUGUGUAACAAUUUUGACACAUAGGUGUUCUUUUAUUGCUUUCCUUAUGAGUGGCGGUCGGGGACGAGCGAUGGUCUUUUCCUACCAAUCUAUCCCUCUAGGGGCAUGCGUAGUAGUACUUUGCUUCGAGGGCUAAUAAAAUUUUGCAAUAAGUACAUGAGUUCUUUAUGACUAAUGUGAGUCCAUGGAUUAUACGCACUCUCAACCUUCCACAAUUUUCUAGCCUCUACGGUACCACGCAUUGCCCUUUCUCACCUUGAGAGUUGGUGCAAACUUCGUCGGUGCAUCCAAACCCCGUGAUAUGAUACGCUCUAUCACACAUAAGCCUCUUUAUAUCUUCCUCAAAAUAGCCACCAUACCUACCUAUCAUGGCAUUCCAUAUCCAUUCCGAGAUAUAUUGCCAUGCAACUUUCCACCGUUCCGUUUAUUAUGACACGCUUCAUCAUUGUCAUAUUGCUUUGCAUGAUCAUGUAGUUGACAUCGUAUUUUGUGGCAAAGCCACCAUUCAUAAUUUUUUCAUACAUGCCACUCUUGAUUCAUCGCAUAUCCCGGUACACCGCCGGAGGCAUUCACAUAGAGUCAUAUUUUGUCCUAAGUAUUGAGUUGUAAUUGUUGAGUUGUAAAUAAUAAAAGUGUGACGAUCAUCAUUAUUAGAGCAUUGUCCCAUGUGAUGAAAGGAUGAUGGAGACUAUGAUUCCCCCACAAGUUGGGAUGAGAUUCCGGACUAAAAAAAGAGAGGCCAAAUAAAAAAAAGGCCCAAAGAAAAAAAAAGAAAAAAGAGAGAAAAAGAGAGAAGAGACAAUGUUACUAUCCUUUUCCACACUUGUGCUUCAAAGUAGCACCGUGAUCUUCAUGAUAGAGAGUCUCCUAUGUUGUCACUUUCAUAUACUAGUGGGAAUUUUUCAUUAUAGAACUUGGCUUGUAUAUUCCAAUGAUGGGCUUCCUCAAAAUGCCCUAGGUCUUCAUGAGCAAGCAAGUUGGAUGCACACCCACUUAGUUUCUUUUGUUGAGCUUUCAUAUAUUUAUAGCUCUAGUGCAUCCGUUGCAUGGCAAUCCCUACUCCUCUCAUUGACAUCAAUCGAUGGGCAUCUCCAUAGCCUAUUGAUUAGCCGCGUCAAUGUGAGACUUUCUACCUUUUUGUCUUCUCUCAUAACCCCCAUCAUUAUACCUUACUCCACCCAUAGUGCUAUAUCCAUGGCUUGCGCUCAUGUAUUGCGUAAGAGUUGAAAAGGCUGAAGCGCGUUAAAAGUAUGAACGAAUUGCUCGGCUUGUCAUCGGGGUUAUGCAUGAUGAGAACGUUUGUGUGACAAUAUUGAAACAUGGCCUAACUAUAUGAUUUUGUAGGGAUAAGCUUUCUUUGGCUAUGUUAUUUUGAUAAGACAUAAUUGCUUGGUUAGCAUGUUUGAAGUAUUAUUGUUUUUAUGUCAACAUUAAACUUUUAUCUUGAAUCUUUCGGAUCUAAAUAUUCAUGCCACAAUAAAAAGAUUUACAUUGAGGAUUAUGCUAAGAAGCAUUCCACAUCAAAAAUUAUGUUUUUAUCAUUUACCUACUCGAGGACGAGCAGGAAUUAAGCUAGGGGAUGCUUGAUACGUCUCCAACGUAUCUAUACUUUUUUGAUUGUUCCAUGCUAUUAUAUAUUCUGUUUUGGAUGUUUAAUGGGCUUAUUUAUACACUUUUAUAUUAUUUCUGGGACUAACCUAUUAACAGGAGGCCCGGCCCAAAUUGCUGUUUUUUUGCCUAUUUCAGUGUUUCGCAGAAAAAGAAUAUCAAACGGAGUCCAAACGGAAUGAAACCUUCGGGAACGUGAUUUUUGGAACAAACGUGAUUCAGAGGACUUGGAGUGGACGUCAAGCAACCAACGAGGCGGCCACGAGGCAGGGGCGCGCCUACCCCCCCAGGCGCGCCCUACACCCUCGUGGGCCCCUCGUGGCUCCACUGACCUACUUGUUCCUCCUAUAUAUACCUACGUACCCCCAAACCAUCAGAAGCGCCCACGAAAACCUAAUUCCACCGCCGCAACCUUCUGUACCCGUGAGAUCCCAUCUUGGGGCCUUUUCCGGCGUCCUGCCGGAGGGGGCAUUGGUCACGGAGGGCUUCUACAUCAACACCAUAGCCUCUCCGAUGAUGUGUGAGUAGUUUACCUCAGACCUUCGAGUCCAUAGUUAUUAGCUAGAUGGCUUCUUCUCUCUCUUUGGAUCUCAAUACAAAGUUCUCCUCGAUUCUCUUAGAGAUCUAUUCUAUGUAAUCUUCUUUUGCGGUGUGUUUGUCGAGAUCCGAUGAAUUGUGGGUUUAUGAACAAGAUUAUCUAUGAACAAUAUUUGAAUCUUCUCUGAAUUCUUUUACGUAUGAUUGGUUAUCUUUGCAAGUCUCUUCGAAUUAUCAUUUUGGUUUGGCCUACUAGAUUGAUCUUUCUUGCAAUGGGAGAAGUGCUUAGCUUUGGGUUCAAUCUUGCGGUGCCCGAUCCCAGUGACAGUAGGGGAAACGACACGUAUUGUAUUGUUGCCAUCGAGGAUAAAAAGAUGGGGUUUAUAUCAUAUUGCAUGAGUUUAUCCCUCUACAUCAUGUCAUCUUGCUUAAAGCGUUACUCAGUUCUUAUGAACUUAAUACUCUAGAUGCAUGUUGGAUAGCGGUCGAUGUGUGGAGUAAUAGUAGUAGAUGCAGGCAGGAGUCGGUCUACUUGUCACGGACGUGAUGCCUAUAUACAUGAUCAUACCUAGAUAUUCUCAUAACUAUGCUCAAUUCUAUCAAUUGCUCGACAGUAAUUCGUUCACCCACCGUAAUACUUAUUCUCUUAAGAGAAGCCACUAGUGAAACCUAUGGCCCCCGGGUCUAUUUUCCAUCAUAUUAAUCUCCCGUUAUUUCCAUUACUGUUUACUUGCUUUCUUUACUUUUACUCUUUAUCAUAAAAUACCAAAAAAAAUAUCUUAUCAUCUCUAUCAGAUCUCAUUCUCGUAAGUGACCGUGAAGGGAUUGACAACCCCUUUAUUGCGUUGGUUGCGAAGUUCUUAUUUGUUUGUGUAGGUGCAAGGGACUUGAGCGUGACCUCCUACUGGAUUGAUACCUUGGUUCUAAAAAACUGAGGGAAAUACUUACGCUACUUUACUGCAUCACCCGUUCCUCUUCAAGGGAAAACCAACGCAGUGCUCAAGAGGUAGCAGCGGCCCCCCUCUUUCCUUCUCCCUCUCUCUCCCUUCCCCUUUCCCCUCUCCGUUGGAAGGAAAGGGGGGGCGAAUCCUACUAGGAACAGAGUCCUAGUAGGACUCCCCCCCAUGGCGCGCCCCCUUGGGCCGGCCUCCUCCUCCCUUCCUCCUUUAUAUACGUGGGUAGGGGGGCACUCCAAAGCACAAUAGUUGUUCUUAGCCGUGUGCGGUGCCCCCCUCCACAGUUUACCAUCUCGGUCAUAUUGUCGUAGUGCUUAGGCGAAGCCCUGCGCGAAUCACAUCACCAACACCGUCGCCACACCGUCGUGCUGACGGAACUCUCCCUCGACCCUCUACUGGAUCAAGAGCUCAAGGGACGUCAUCGUGCUGAAUGUGUGCUGAACACGGAGGUGCCGUACGUUCGAUACUUGGAUCAGUUGGAUCGUGAAGACGUUCGACUACAUCAACCGUGGUACAUAACGCUUCCGCUUUUGGUCUACGAGGGUACGUGGACACACUCUCCUCUCUCGUUGCUAUGCAUCUCCUAUAUAGAUCUUGCAUGUUUGUAGGAUUUUUUUUGAAUUACUACGUUCCCCUACAGUGGCAUCCGAGCCAGGUCUAUGCGUAGAUGAUAUAUGCACAAGUAGAACACAAAGAGUUGUGGGCGAUAAUAGUCAUACUGCUUACCACCAAUGUCUUACUUUGAUUCGGCGGUAUUGUUGGAUGAAGCGGCCCGGACCGACAUUACAUGACCGCGUUCAUGAGAUUGGUUCUACUGACGUGCUUCACACAUAGGUGGCUGGCGGGUGUCUGUUUCUCCAACUUUAGUUGAUUCGAGUUUGACUACGGACGAUCCUUGUUGAAGGUUAAAACAACACACUUGACGAAAAAUCGUUGUGGUUUUGAUGCGUAGGUAAGAACGGUUCUUGCUAGAAGCCCGUAGCAGCCACGUAAAACUUGCAACAACAAAGUAGAGGACAUCUAACUUGUUUUUGCAGGGCAUGUUGUGAUGUGAUAUGGUCAAGAAAUGAUGAGAUAUAAAUUGUUGUAUGAUAUGAUCAUGUUUUGUAAAAGUUAUCGGAAACUGGCAGGAGCCUUAUGGUUUUUGCUUUAUUGUAUGAAAUGCAAUCGCCAUGUGAUUGCUUUACUUUAUCACUAAGCGGUAGCGAUAGUCGUAGAAGCAAUAGUUGGCAAGCGACAACGAUGCUACGAUGGAGAUCAAGGUGUCAAGCCGGUGACGAUGGAGAUCAUGACGGUGCUUUGGAGAUGGAGAUCAAAGGCACAAGAUGAUGAUGGCCAUAUCAUGUCACAUAUUUUGAUUGCAUGUGAUGUUUAUCCUUUAUGCAUCUUAUUUUGCUUAGUACGACGGUAGCAUUAUAAGAUGAUCCCUCACUAAAUUUCAAGGUAUAAGUGUUCUCCCUGAGUAUGCACCAUUGCUACAGUUCGUCGUGCCGAGACACCACGUGAUGAUCGGGUGUGAUAAGCUCUACGUUCACAUACAAUGGGUGCAAGCCAGUUUUGCACGUGCAGAAUACUCGGGUUAAACUUGAUGAGCCUAGCAUAUGCAAAUAUGGCCUCGGAACAUUGAGACCGAAAGGUCGAACGUGAAUCAUAUAGUAGAUAUGAUCAACAUAGUGAUGUUCACCAUUGAAAACUACCCCAUCUCACGUGAUGAUCGGACAUGGUUUAGUUGAUAUGGAUCACAUGAUCAUUUAGAUGACUAGAGGGAUGUCUAUCUAAGUGGGAGUUCUUAAGUAAUAUGAUUAAUUGAACUUUAAUUUAUCAUGAACUUAGUACCUGAUAGUUUUUGCAUGUCUAUGUUAUUGUAGAUCAAUGGCCCGUGCUACCGUUCCUUUGAAUUUUAAUGCGUUCCUAGAGAAAGCUAAGUUGAAAGAUGAUGGUAGCAACUACAUGGACUGGGUCUAUAACUUGAGGAUUAUCCUCAUUGCUGCACAGAAUAAUUAUGUCCUGGAAGCACCGCUAGGUGCAAGACCCGCUGCAAGAGCAACUCCAGACGUUAUGAACGUCUGGCAGAGCAAAGCUGAUGACUACUCGAUAGUUCAGUGUGCCAUGCUUUACGGCUUAGAAUCGGGACUUCAAAGACGUUUUGAACGUCAUGGAGCAUAUGAGAUGUUCCAGGAGUUGAAGUUAAUAUUUCAAGCAAAUGCCCGAGUUGAGAGAUAUGAAGUCUCCAACAAGUUCUACAGCUGCAAAAUGGAGGAGAAUAGUUUUGUCAGUGAACACAUACUCAGAAUGUCUCGGUACCAUAACCACUUGACUCAGAUGGGAGUUAAUCUUCCUGAUGAUAGUGUCAUUGACAGAGUUCUUCAAUCACUACCACCAAGCUAUAAAGGCUUCGUGAUGAACUAUAACAUGCAAGGGAUGGAAAAGACAAUUCCCGAGCUCUUCGCGAUGCUAAAGGCUGCAGAGGUAGAAAUCAAGAAGGAGCAUCAAGUGUUGAUGGUGAACAAGUGAAAGUGCAAUCAUGCCCUUAAUCUUAUUUUGAUGUUGAUGACAACUUGCAUAUAGGGGACUAAUCAUUUUUAUCAAGUAUAUCUCAGGAUUAAGUCUCAAGGGCCGGAUGUGGAUCAUGACUACGGACAAAUUUAUAUCACUUAAGAGCGGAGAUACAAGACAAUAGCUUUGGCUCUUUUUUGGUUUGUUCUUGAGUAUAGGGAUCCCACACUAUUAAGAGGGGACCGUCGGAUUUCGUGAAAGACUUGCUCAAAACCCACAAAGUAUCCUCUCACUACAUCUCUGCUUCACCCCUAGCUCUUUCAUUAUCUUGUGCACAAAGUUCUUUGUGCUCAUGAGCUAGUGUGCUCUGUUUUCACUGGACGACCGGUAAUCUAUGGACGUCCGGCCCUUCACAGCCGACCGGGCGUCUGGCUCUCUCCGGAUGUCCGGUGCAUCCUCACAGAAAGAAUAUAGCGGAAAUCCGGUCCACUCCGGACGACCGGUCACCGGACAUCCUUUUCUCUCCGGAAAUCCAGUAUUGCUUCAAUAGAAAACUUACUAACGGAUUUUCGGUCCUCACCGGACAACCGGUCACCGGACGACCGGCGCCUUACGGAUGUCCGGUGGCUGUGUGCCUUGUGCUUCUUUUGUGGCCUGGUAGGACUCCCAGCGACCGGACGACCGGCGGCCCGACCGGACGUUCGGUCCAAUCUGAGCCACCGGACUUCCGGUACUCACUGGACGUCCGACAACUUCAGUACACUAAGUGGCUCAACGGUCAGUUUUACACUACUAUUAGCCUCCUCCCUCCACGAGAUAAGGCGGACCAUUCACUUUGAGCUCUCCAAGAACACAUUUCACUCCCUCUCUUGAUCCCCCACACCAAAUCCUAGAUCCCCAGGAUAGUUAUGAGGAUGAUGAUAUAGAUGAUCCUAUGCUGGCUAAACUAAAUAAGUUCAUGUGCUCUCUCAAAGGAAAGAAUCUCACUAUGUUUUGUAUGCUUAUGGAGAUGGUCAGUAAGCACACCAUCACCGUUAAGGAACUCAAAACCCUCAUCACCGAGGAAAAGGAAAAAUAUGAAAUCCUUGAGAGGAAAGUCCAAUAUGAGGAAGCACGAAAUGAUGAACUACGCUUGAAAAUUGGUGCAAACAUUGAUGUUCAUGCUAGAGAUCUUGCCUCCUUGAAAAAGGCUAAGGACUCUUGCGAAGAGUUGAUGAAUGAUAAAAGUAAACUUGCUAAGUCUCAUGCUUCUCUCUCUACGGAUUAUGAGCUCCUUUCCGUGUCUCUCAAGACUAAGGAAGAAGAGCUCACCCUUCUUACAAAGAGGUUUGAGACGCUCAAGCUUAAUUAUCUUGAAACUCUAGCCAAGGCUUACUCUUCUCCCAUUAUUAAUGUUGAUGCUUGUACUAAUAACUCUAGUAAUGACCUAGCAUCUAUUCUUGAGGAGAAUCGCUUUCUCAAGGCUCAAAUCGAGAAAGAUCUCAUGACAUGUGCUCAAGGACAAAAGAAUCUUAAUGAGGUACUGAGCCAACACAAUGAGGUGUUUGCCAAAGAGGGGCUCGGGUUUGACCCAAGCACAAGCAAGAAGAAGAAGUCUUCUCAAAAGUGCACCACCUCUCUAAAAGAAACAUUUGUACGAGAAGGGCACAAGGAAAAAGGUAAGGUUGUUAGUGGGAAGGCCACAAGGGGCAUGCCCACUCUCAACAAGCCAAAAGAGUUCAUGCCUCCAUCCUAUGUACUUCGUAAGACUAAGGAUGGAGGAGUUUAUGCAAAAUUUGUUGGUCCUCGAAAUGCAUUCCGAUUCUAUGCUAUUUGGGUCCCUAAGACCCUUGUGACUAACUUGAGAGGUCCCAUUGCAAAAUGGGUGCCUCUAACCUAGUCAUAAUUGUGUGUAGGUGGCUUUCUCUGGUGGAGUAAAAUGGGUGAUUGAUAGUGGAUGUACCAAUCAUAUGACCGGAUAUAGCAAAUUGCUCUACGAUUUCAUGGAAGAUAUUCAACCAAUUAUGAGCAUUAUGUUUGGUGGAGGAUCAAAAGGACAGAUACUCGGGUUAGGCAAGGUGGCUAUCACAAAUGACAUGUCUCUUGCAAAUGUCAUGUUUGUUCAAUCCCUUAACUAUCAUAUGAUUUCUGUUUGCCAAUUGGCUUCUGUUGGUUAUGACACACUCUUUGGACUAACGGAUGUGAAAGUCUUUAAGAGAGAUACUCUCGAAGUGGCCUUUGUUGGAGAGUUGGAUGGGAACCUUUACACGGUUGAUUUCUCUAAAGAGAGCACAUUCCAUGCAACUUGUCUAAUGGCCAAGGCCGACAAGGGGUGGCUAUGGCAUCGCCGGCUAGCCCAUGUCGGCAUGAGAAAUCUUCAAGAUCUCUUAAAGGGUAAUCACAUCCUUGGACUAACCAAUGUCUCUUUUGAGAAAGAUCGUGUGUGUAGUGCUUGCAUAGUCGGGAAGCAACAUCAAUCAAAGCACCCACCCAAGAAUAUCGUGUCUACUUCAAGGCCUUUGGAACUCCUUCAUGUGGACCUUUUUGGGUCUCCUUCAUGGGAUAGGCUUGGUGGGAAAAAGUAUGGACUUGUCAUUGUUGAUGAUUACUCAAGAUAUACAUGGGUGUUUUUCCUCAAAUCCAAGGACGAGACAAAGAUCACCUUCAUUGAUUUUGCCAAGCAAGCACAACGCAAGUUUGACAAAGAAAUCUUGGCAAUAAGAAGUGAUAAUGGCUCCGAGUUCAAGAACUACACCUUGGAAGAAUUUCUUAGUGAUGAAGGGAUUGAGCAUCAAUAUUCAGCUCCAUACACUCCUUAGCAAAAUGGUGUAGCCGAAAGGAAGAACCGUACACUUGUGGAGAUGGCAAGGUCCAUGUUGGAUGAAUACAAGUCGCCACAUAGUUUUUGGGUCGAGGCUGUCAACACUGCAUGCCAUGCAUCAAACCGGCUCUUUCUCUGCACAAUAUUGGAAAAGACUCCAUAUGAGCUCCUAACUGGGAACACGCCAAAUGUCAAGUACUUUUGAGUAUUUUGGUGCAAAUGUUUCAUCCUCAACAAAAGGGAACGGUUAGGAAAAUUUCAAUCCAAAAUAAUUGAGGGCAUAUUUGUUGGCUAUGGAUCAAACUCUCACGCCUAUAGAGUCUACAACAAAUCCAAUGGAUGUGUUGUAGAAACUUGUGACAUGGUGUUUGAUGAAUCUAAUGGUUCCCAUGGGGAGCAAGUUGAUCUAAGUGAUGUAUGUGAAGAAGAUUCUUCUCAAGAUACUCUGACCAUGGGUGUUGGGGCACUUCUUCCAAUGGAACAAGAACCUCAUGAUGAUGAAGAAGAAGAUGGAAGCCUCACACAUCACCAAACUACUUCAACACCCAUACCACCUCAAGCUCCUAUUGCUCAACCAAUGCCCUUAGUCCAAGUACAAGAAGAUGAUCACGUUCCUCUUCAUGAUAAUCUUCAAGAACAAGAUCAUCAUCAAGGACAAGAACAAGAAAGUGCAAUUAUUGAUGAUGAACCUCAACAAAUGCAAUAUGAAGAAGAAGAUCUUCCACCACACAUCAAUGAUCCAUAUGUUGAGGACGUGGAUGAUGGACAUGAAGUUGAACCUCGCGAAACCUUAACCUCCAUCAUGCCUUGAGUGGUCGGUCGUGUUGAUGUUGAGAAAAUUUUCACCGACAUAUCAAAAGGUAGAGUCACUCGUAAACAUUUGACAAACUUUUGUGCUCACUUCUCGUUUGUGUCUAGUGUUGAGCCUCUUAAGGUACAAGAUGCAUUGAUGGACAACGAUUGGCUUGUUGCUAUGCAAGAAGAGCUGAACAGUUUUGAAUGCAACCAAGUGUGGUCAUUAGCCGAGAGGCCAACUACGGAGCACAAUGUCUUUGGAACAAAAUGGAUUUUCAAGAACAAGCAAGAUGAGAAUGGUGUAAUCAUCCGUAACAAGGCAAGGUUAGUGGCACAAGGGUACUCACAAGUUGAAGGUUUGGACUUUGGUGAGACUUUUGCCCCCGUUGCUCGUCUUGAAUCUAUUCGCAUCUUACUUGCUUAUGCCGCUUUCAGUGGUUUUACAUUACAUCAAAUGGAUGUGAAGAGUGCAUUCCUUAACGGUCCUCUACAAGAAGUAUAUGUAUCAUAACCACCUGGGUUCGUUGAUCCCGAUCACAAAGACUAUGUGUAUAAACUUCAUAAGGCUUUGUAUGGCUGAGGGAGUCCUGGAUUAAGGGGUCCUCGGGCGUCCGGGCUAUGUGAUGUGGGCCGGACUAAUGGGUCGUGAAGAUACAAGACAGAAGACUUGCUCCCGUGUCCGGAUGGGACUCUCCUUUGCGUGGAAGGCAAGCUUGGCGUUCGGAUAUGAAGAUUCCUUUCUCUGUAAACCGACUGUGUACAACCCUAGGUCCCUUUGGUGUCUAUAUAAACCGGAGGGUUUAGUCCGAAGGGGAGAAUCAUAAUCAUACAGGCUAGACAGCUAGGGUUUAGCCAUUACGAUCUCGAGGUAGAGCAACUCUUGUAAACCCCAUAUUCAUCCAAGAUAAUCAAGCAGGAAGUAGGGUAUUACCUCCAUCAAGAGGGCCCGAACCUGGGUAAACAUCGUGUCCCUGUCUCCUGUUACCUUUGAUCCUCAGACGCACAGUUCGGGACCCCCUACCCGAGAUCCGCCAGUUUUGACACCGACAUUGGUGCUUUCAUCGAGAGUUCCGCUGUGUCGUCGCCAGAAGGUUCGAUGGCUCCAUCAGUCAUCUACAACAAUGCUGCCCUAAGGGAGAUCUUUCUCCCCAGCCAGAUCUUUGUGUUCGGCGGCUUUGCACUACGGGCCAACUUGCUUAGCCAUCUAGAGCAGACCGACAGCUAUGCCCCAGGUCACCAGAUCAGUUUUGGAAAUCUAGAUUAUGUCGCGGAUAUCCAAGGAGACUUGAUCUUCCAAGGGUUCACGACCCCAACCUCCGCUCUGGCCUUAGAUCCGGAGCGCAUCACCAGGUCCGAAGACGGGACUCCCGAGCCCACCGAACUCUUUGCGGCUAUCGAGCCUGGUUCGGGAGAGCCAGAGGAAGCAGCGCCGCCGGCAAUCAUCGUGAAGCCGGACUCUUCUCCGAACACUGGCUCCGAACCCUCGGAGUCAGUAUCGUGUGAGCUCAGCCAAGGAGUUUUCUUCCCGCCGUACUCCACGGACUCUUUUCUCCCUGGCCAAACCUCGCCUUUAAGCGAGGCUCUGGACUUAAUGCGAUCCCUCAUCAUUACAGAGGGGCAACGUCCGAACUACGCCCAGCCCGGACUAGGGGCUGAGAGCAGGGAAUUUUACGUCCCACCCACCACCCACUUCAUAGCCACUGUCGAGGACUUAACCGACAUGCUCGAUUAUGGCUCUGAAGACAUCGACGGUAUGGACGACGAUGCCGGAGAAGAACAGGCCCAAAACCCGCCGUUUACCGGACGCUGGACGGCCACCUCUUCGUAUGACGUGUACAUGGUGGAUACACCCAAAGAGGGUAACAACGAUAACGAGAAAAACCCAGUUGAGGAUAAACUUCCUGAGACACAACCAAAGCACCGACGUCAGCGGCGCCGCUCUAAAUCAUGCCGUGGAAAAGACAGCAAUACCGGCACCGGGGACAACAACAGUCCGGACGACGCCGAAGACCAAGAAGACCCCGUCGAGCCAACCUCCGAACAGGACGAUCGGGAAGAUGGGCAAAUUGGCCCUGAUGAACAGGCUGUAAAGACUCGGAUGACAGUAAUUAUCUUCCACUCUCCGAGGAUGAGGUGAGCCUCGGCGACGAAGACUUUAUCGUGCCCGAGGAACCCCUUCAGCAGGAGCGCUUUAAGCGCCGGCUAAUAGCCACUGCAAGGAGCCUGAAAAAGAAGCAGCAACAGCUUCAAGCUGACCAAGAUCUGCUCAAUGACAGGUGGGCUAAUGUCCUGGCAGCCGAGGAAUACAGCCUCAGGCGCCCAACCAAGAGUUACCCGAAGCGUAAGCUGCUACCUCAAUUCGACGACGAGGCGCUGGAGCCUAUACCGUCAGCGCGUAACGCGGCCGACCGACCACCACGUGGCCGUGACAAAACAGCAACUCAAGCCAAACACCAGCCCGUACUACCUAACCGAAAAGGUAGAGACACAAUAGCUUGGGGAUAUACGUACGACCUACGACAGGACUUGGAAAAUAGAGUAGGUCAGACCAGAUCGAUCUACGGAUCGCAGGGGCGUGCCCCGAUGCGCGAGGACGGCUAUCUAGCCGGGCGCGACAAGCAUAACCACCCCGGGACGAAAACCGCAGACAUACUCCAUCCGAGCUGCGUUGUGACUUGGCCCGAUAUAGAGGCGCCGCACACCCCCUCUGCUUCCCUGACGAAGUAAUGGAGCACGAAUUCCCAGAAGGGUUUAAACCCGUGAAUAUCGAAUCAUAUGAUGGAAUAACAGAUCCGGCAGUAUGGAUUGAAGAUUUUCUUCUCCAUAUUCAUAUGGCUCCCGGUGAUGAUCUUCAUGCCAUCAAAUACCUCCCGCUAAAGCUCAAAGGACCAGCCCGGCACUGGUUAAACAACUUGCCAGAAAACUCCAUUGGCAGCUAGGAGGACUUGGUAGACGCCUUCCGCGACAACUUCCAGGGUACAUACGUCCGACCUCCGGAUGCCGAUGACCUAAGUCACAUAGUUCAACAGCCCGGAGAGUCGGCCAGGAAAUUCUGGACUAGGUUCCUAACUAAAAAGAACCAGAUCGUCGACUGUCCAGAUGCCGAAGCCCUAGCGGCCUUUAAGCAUAGCAUUCGCGACGAAUGGCUCGCCCGACACCUCGGCCAAGAAAAGCCGAAGUCCAUGGCAGCCCUCACGACACUUAUGACCCGCUUUUGCGCGGGCGAAGAUAGUUGGCUGGCCCGAGCAGCAACAAUGUAAGCGAACCUGGCACCUCUGAAGCCAGAAAUAGCAGCGGCAAACCCCAACACAACAGGCACAAGCGUCGGAAUAACGGUGACAAUACCGACGACACGGUGGUCAACGCCGGAUUUAGUGGCUCCAAGUCCGGUCAACGGAAGAAGCCAUUUAAAAGAAGCAAUCCGGGCUCAUCCAGCUUGGACCGAAUCCUCGAUCGACCAUGUCAGAUCCACGACACCCCCGAUGAACCCGCCAAUCAUACCAACAGAAGCUGUUGGGUCUUUAAACAAGCCAGUGAGUUAAAUACCAAGAAUAAGGAGAAGGGGUCGCCAAGUGAGGACGAUGACAAGGAGCCCCGUCCACCGAACACAGGGGGACAGAAGAAAUUCCACCCCCAAGUCAAAACGGUGAACAUGAUAUACAUUACUCAUAUCCCCAAGAGGGAGCGCAAACGCGCGCUCAGGGACGUCUAUGCUAUAGAGCCAGUCGCCCCAAAAUUCAAUCCAUGGUCAUCCUGCCCGAUCACUUUCAAUCGCAAGGACCAUCCGACCAGUAUCCGUCACGGCGGCUCGGCUGCACUGGUCCUCGACCCAAUCAUUGAUGGAUUCCACCUCACUUGAGUUCUCAUGGACGGUGGCAGUAGCCUUAACCUGCUCUAUCAGGACAUAGUCCGCAAGAUGGGCAUCGAUCCGUCAAGGAUCAAGCCCACAAAAACUACCUUCAAAGGAGUAAUACUAGGUAUAGAGGCCCGUUGCACGGGCUCAAUCACAUUGGAAGUCGUCUUCGGAUCGCCGGACAACUUCCAAAGUGAAGACUUGAUCUUCGACAUCGUCCCCUUCCGCAGUGGCUAUCACGCACUGCUCGGACGAACCGCAUUUGCUCGCUUUAAUGCGGUGCCACACUAUGCCUAUCUCAAAAUUAAGAUGCCCAGACCACGCGGUGUCAUAACAGUCAACGGAAACACGAAACGCUCCCUUCAUACUGAGGAGCACACCACGACCCUGGCAGUGGAAGUAUAGGGCGACCUUAUCAAGCAGAACAUCAAUUCGGCGGCCAAGCCCCCAGACACUAUUAAACGAGUCCGGACUACUCCGCAGCAUGACAGUCCAGCUCGUCAGGAGUUCGACUAGCAAUUCGGCCUCCGUCUCAGUCCCGACCGGCCUACGGCAUACGUACCACGCGUACAUAAUUACGCACUAAAAAUACCAUGGGCAAAGACGGAGGCAGAACUCGAUCAUGGCCCACUAUACAGCUCGACCUCCUCUGGGCGCUCAUACUUUCCCUUUUCUUUCUAUCCUUUUCAGGUUUAUUUUCCACGGGCCCCUCACGACGGCUUGAUCGUCGAUCCUUUCGAAGGAUGAACAUACCAAGGAGGCAAGUAGCAUAGACGUGUGGCAGAAUACCUAGAUGAUCUUCUUGGCGAUCACUUCACCUGUUUUCAGGACCCACACACAGCUUCCCCUUGGUCUCGGCAUGUUAAAUAGCCCUAUUGCUUAUCGCAUUACCUGUACAAAAUAUGCUUUGACAUAUUAAUCAGGUUAUAAUGGAAAUAGUUUCCGGCCAAACAUACGUGGCACUGGCCUACUCCUUCAUUAUAUUUCACUACUUUUAUCGAUUGCACUCGUACACAUUGGUCCGCCUUAAAUCGCCAGGGGCUCCAUUGCGCUCCAUACGUUUGCAACAAGUCCGAACACUUUUUACAGUAUAAUUCGGCGCCCCGAAUAUAGCAUUAUAUGCAACGGCUCUGAAUCAUGUCUUUGGUCAAUAGUUGGGUUGCCCGGCUCCUGUGCUUGCUACCUUACGUUCCGUUUUAUCGGCUAGGGUAGUAAAGGAAGAACUACUGCGAUUGUGUUUCUGGUUCAUCCGGAUAAACACCUCAGUAGAGAAAGCCGAAAACUGACUGUCAUGAUGCGGCGAGAGCUGGUCUGCUAUUCGGUGGCUAAAAUCUCUUGCGAUUUUUUCCGCAUUAUGCGACGGAUCGGCCUCCACCCAAUCAGGUGUCUACAGCGCCCUAGUCCGGAUAAACAAAUACUAACUAGGGGCUGCGCCUACACUCCCAUUGUCAAACUCCUAUGGCUUAUAGUGUCAAAAUAGAACAACAUGAGUGUUGUGUUUAAUUUCGAAAAUUUUCGGGGUUCAUUUGGACAUCUUUAUACAUUAACUGAGAUUUCGAGGCAUUUUAUGCGCAUAAUUCAAAUUUGAACUACACGCACAAGAUCCAGUGCAUAUAAACUGGUUGAAAAAUCAAAUAUGUGUCCUUGGUUGCAUGCUUAGAUCCCAUGCAAGAAAUGGGAAUGAAUUUCAAACACCCUGCCACCGUCACUCCGCCGCAAACAUUGAGAUACCUGGUUUUUAAAUUCUAGUAAAUCCAAAACUCGUCUGAAAUUCAUGAAACUUGGCAUGCUAUCAUGGAGCGGCAUCAACAUGCCGUGGUAAAAAAUUUGUACCAUUUGGGGCAGGUUUGGGUAUAAGCUUCUCAUAAACCAAAGCUUCUCACAACAAGCGUGAUGGUUUCGGUAGGGAACGUGCCACCUUUGGGGACGAAACGAUAUCCAUUGCCUCUUAUUGCUUUCAAAAAUUUUCUAGUGUCAACAUAGAACAACAGGAGUGUUGUGUUUAAUUUUGGAAUUUUUGGGGGUUCAUUUGGACAUUUUUAUACAUUAACUGGGUUUUCUAGGCAUUUCAUGUGCAUAAUUCAAAUUUGAACUACAUGCACAAGCUCCAGUGCAUAUAAAUUGCUUGAAAAAUCAAAUAUGUGUCCUUCGGGGCAUGCUUAGGUCCCAUGCAAGAAAUGGGAAUGAAUUUCAAACACCAGGGCACUGUUGAUUGUCGGCAAAACGUUGAGAUACUUUGUUUUUAAAUUCUAGUAAAUCCAAAACUCGUCUGAAAUUCAUGAAACUUGGCAUGCUAUAAUGGAAUGGCACCCGACAUGCUGAGGUAUUUUCCGUGUCCAUUUUGAGAGAAGGCGCACUCGAAUAACAGCCAACAAAGGCAUUUUGAAAUAAAUAGCUGGCACUGCAACAUCUCAAACGUUUUGUAUAAUUUAAAUUGUGUGCGUUCUGUUAACCAUUCACGUGACGCCACGCCUCACUAUUUUAAUGGCUAGGAGGUGCCGUGCGGACAGGUGCUUGAGUGCUUGACUAAAUGGAAGGCGUGCGAGCUGUACUCCAAUGCGGAGGCUCACCGGGAAGCAUGCGAGCUGUACGCCGCACAUGCUCACUGGGAAGCAAGCCCUUUGACUUCCAUGGACGCCCACUUUGCUCGCAUCCUCUACACUAAUGGCGCCCAAGCUGCAGUUUAAUAUGGUUUUUAAAUAUAAAACACUCAUCGCAAAUGUUUUAGUUAGAACACCCGUAUGCAAAACCGAUAAUUUCCCCAGGAAGCCAAGGGUAAAUGUGCCUAGCAGGAUUUGUGCAGCUCUUGAUCGCAAAUGUUUUAGUUAUAACACAUGUAUGCAAACCGAUAGCUUCCCCAGGAAGCCAAGAGAAAAUGUGCCGAGCAGGAUUUCUGCAGCUCUUGAUCGCAAACGUUUUAGGUAGAACACCCAUAUGCAAAGUGAGAGCUAUGGUCUUCCCCCUUAACUCGAGGGAAAAUCCGCAGCGCGGGAUUUGUGCAUCCCUUCAACGCAAACGGUUGUUUUGGAUGACCCGUGUGCAACCACGUACAAAUAAUUUGGUAAGAUUUGCAUCUGUCAUAUUGGGUAUGUUGCCAUUUGUCAAACUGGAAAGAUUGACAUUUGUUGAUCUAGUAACAUUGCCAUUUGUCAAUCCUUGUAACACUGCGAUUUGUCAAAAUAUGCAGCUAGAAAUCACUAGCACUAUCAAAUUUUUGCAAUUAAAAUUCAGUAAUUAAGCAUAGAUUUCAUUCAUAGAUUAAGCAGUCGUUCUUAAUUUAUACAAACAGUUCAACUCGACAGCUGAACCGACCAAACUUUUCUCCAAUUGUUGCCAACCACGUACUAAAAUAGCUAGUUCAACUAUAUAUACUAGCUAAUUUUAAUUAUAUUGUACAGUUAGACCACACAUCUAUAGUCAGAUGAACUGAACAAAAUAGCCCCUAAAUACUACUACUACCACGGAGGGGCUUUGUGCUACUUCCGGUAGCCUCUCCUUUGUCGAGCGCGCUCAGUAAUAGGCAGAGGAAGAGGAGAAGCCUACCGACGAGCUGGAGAAAUGCAAUACGGUGCCUGCCGCUGCUGCACGUUCAGCGACGGCCACUGUGACCGGCAAUGGGGUGGCGGCCACGACGGCCACCUCCCGCCUUCGGGCCGUGGCGGCGGAGCGGGAGAUGGCCCUGGCUUUCGACGGUGGUGUGGCAGCAACGGCGGCCGGCAACAGCUGCCGACGGGCAGCGGCGGCGGAGCGUGUGGUGGGUGUUCCGCGCACACCCAACAGGGACGCCACGCGCACCACACUAUGCCAGGGACUACGCCGGCGCCGCGGUGUAGCCUCCCAGCUGGAGCUGUCCUCUGAUGACGGCGGAGUGGCUGAGCGACGACGAGAGACCGGUGCCAUUGGCGAUUGUGGGAGAAGCAGACGAGAUAAGCUAUAGGCAGGGAGGGGAAAAUGCGACGCAGGACUCGCCGGUCGUGAGGGUUUUUAUAGCAGGCCGGUAAGCAUUGGGAUUUUGGGGGAUUUCACCGAGUCGGGCGGGAAGCUUGCGCGGUAACCCGCGAGUUUGCACGGGAACGGGCUCACAGACGAUUCAUUGGCACCACUUCGAGCCACCGUUUGGCCAAAAGAACGCCCCUGCGCGCUGCGCAAGCUUGCGCUAUAAGCCGUCUGCGACAGCGGGGUGACAAGACGUGCAAGAGGAGGACGGAAGGACACGUACACAUACGGUUAAUACAAAAAAAAACGUUUGUGAUUUAAUUAGCUACUAUACCCCUGUCCUGGUUUAUAAGUAGGAUUUAACUAAUAAAAUACGAAUGCAUGUCGCCAAAGAUUAUAUCGUUGGAGUUGUAUUUAAACAUAGUUUCCAGCUAUAGAAUUUUUGUAACAUGCAUUAACACUUUUUUGGUUAAAUUUAAGGUUAUAUACUAGCAAGCGUUUGCCCGCAACACACACGGCUUAUUCCAUCACAAACAGCUCGGAUGGAUCAACUGUAUGCCAUGUAUCGCACACACAACUCUAAUCAUUCGUGCUUGAUGUCUCCGACAUCGCUCACAUAGUUCGUCUUAUUUGCCACGUAUCACUAUGCCGGCCUCUGCUCGCGUCCCUCGGCAAGCUCUGCUCGCGUCCGUUGGCGCGCUCUACUCGCGUCCGUCCGCACGCUCGGCUUGUGGAUAGCUUUUCCUUGCGUGUUCAACUGCUAUAUGCACAUAUAUAUGGUUGCUCGCCGUUGAGGCGACCGCGGAGCGCUCUGCUCGCGUCCCUCCGCGCGCGCUCUGCCAGCGGUUGGGCGUGCACAUGAUCACGUCGGGGCCCCCAUAUGCAUGCGGUUGCACCGCGCGCAUUGCCACGCGAUGCAGUUACGUGCGGCAGGAUGGAGUUACGCGCUGCAAAUUAGAACUGCCAUCAGGGCCUGCCAAUAUUCCUGGCCGUUCGGCUUCCCCUUUAAUUCCCGCGGCCAUUAUAACCUUAGUCUCUUCAACCUUUUGAUCGUGCCCCACAACACAACAAGCACACCCACGACGACACAUAGAGAGGGAUGUCUAGCAGCGCUCCAAUGGAGUUCGGCGAGCAUAGAGUGGAGACCCACGCGAGGGAGACGGAUCUCUCGGUGGUGUACACCAUCGACCCGGCCGUGGUGGACGACUACAUCAACAGCUUUGAGCAGUUGCUUGCUCGAGACAAGUACAAGGUGGUCGGCCCUCCAGUACACCACCGGUCGUCCCGGCAUAGGUCAGAAGGUUGUCGUUGCCCAGUUGUGCGUGAGCCAUCAUGUACUCAUCUACCACUACUGCAUGGACACAGAGCCUUGCGACCGUUUCAACAGGUUUGUCAACAGCACCGACUACAAGUUCACCACGGUGGAAACCACCGACGAUGUAAAAGCGCUCAGUGUUACGGGCUUGGCCUGCAAGAACCUUGUCGAAAUCCGUGACCACUACAGGGUCUGGGGCAUCACAAAGGACUCCUUGGUCGAACUCGCCUCGGCCAUCAUCGACCCCUACUACGAAAAGAUGAAGCAGGAUGCCCAGAGAACAAGUCCCCUAUUCUGGCACAGGGCCUGGAUGCGGCAACUGGACGAACCUCACCUCAGGUUCGCAGGCAAGAGCGUGUACACAUGCUACAAGAUGCACAGGUGGAUCGUUGACAUGAGGAAGUGCCUCGUUACCCAAAUCGACAAGCCCGGAUCGAGCCACAAGCAGAGCAAGCGUCACAAGAAGUAGAUGAUGAUCAGAUGAUCGUUUAUGCUAGUUAAUCAUGCAUGUAAUAUAUAGUUUACUUUAUUGGUGUGUGGAAAUGUCAUGUGUGUAGUAGCCACCUAUGUAAUUAUGCAUGUAAUAGUUUACUUUGGUGUGUGCAAAUGCCAGGGUUGUAGUAGCUACCUAUGUAAGUGGAUGUUUAAUUUGGUUAUGCAACCAUGUCCUUAUAAGUGUGUGUGUGUGUGUGUAUACAUACAUACAUACAUACAUACAUACAUACAUACAUACAUACAUACAUACAUACAUACAUACAUACAUACAUACACACACAUACACACACAUAUAUAUAUAUAUGUUGUUGUUCUGUAUGCAAUCCCAUCGCACAACACACACGACUUAUUACCAGCAACCGUCUGUGUUAUUAUUGGUCUUCGCACACAUUUCUGAUUACAGACCUGUUUGCCGCGUAUCCCACACAUUUCUGUUCUCUUGUCUCAACACAAACAGUUCAUCCGAGUGAAUCGCAUGCCGUAUAUCGCACACACCUUGAUCUGGCUGAUCGUUUCUUUUGUGUUGCCCAAUCACAAACAGUUCAUCUGAGUGAACCAUAUGCUGUAUAUCGCACACACCUCCAUAUGGCUGCCCGUUUCUUUUGUUCCUCCUCAUUGCAAAUAGUUAAUUGAACUGAACCGUAUGCCCUGCAUCACACACGCAACUAAAAUCUGAACCGUGUUUGAUGCAUCCUCCAUCGCAAACGUUUUGCACAUUUUUUGACGGGUUUUUACACCACCGUUUGCGAUUAUGGCAUCGCACAUAGUUUCGUCGAAGGGUCUCUGAACGUAGUAUCGCGUUAGCAGCAUCAUGUAGUAGUGGAUAACGCCAUGCGAGCCAUCGGAUUAAAUCUACCUCCAUCGGCCAUGGUCUUGGUCAUGACCGUUGUUAUGGAAAAUCUUGGAGAGCGGCGACGCGGCACGGGGGUGGAUCUUCCCCCGCCCCGCUUCUGCACCUCCGUGUGUGCCACGGUUGAUGGUGCCGUCGAGGAUGGAAAUGAUGAAGCUGACGCGCGGUGUGCACUUUCAGGUCCGCGCAAGCGCUCCCCCUACCUGGCGCGCCAAAGAUGUCGCGGGAUUUCCGCGGCCACCUAUGGGACCGGGUGGCCCCUUGUUGGUUCGGCAGGGGGACGACGCGUUGCACAAAGAGCAGACCAGUGCGCGGCUGCGCGACAGAGAGCACACAAUCGAUUUACCCAGGUUCGGGCUGCCGCGAGCCAUAAGACCCUACUCCUACUUUAGUGGAUUGAUGAAGGAAUGGAUGUGGUGGUGUGUAGUACACUUGCCCAGCAAGGUUUGCCCGAGGCGACUACGUGUAUGUGGUGGCUUGGGGUUGUCAACUUUCCAACCUUCUAACCCCUCCCACGAGUGCCAUCGACCUUCUUUUAUAGAAUAAGGGGUCACCAUAGUGGCAAAGUGGUCAUUGUCCACUGAUAUGAUAGCAAAUAGUUCUAUCAUACCUAACUCUGCGGGCUGACAGGGCGCAUUAAAUGCGCCGCUUAGUGUCACAUCAAGAUAAGCAUAUUUCAGAGUAUCAUGUAAUUCUUUAAGCUCAAACACGGGAUCACCCUUAGGUGGAGGAGGAUCCCCAAGGAUUUCAACAGGCAAAUUGUGUUUCAAAAUAGGUCCUUGAUUAAAGAAUACUUCAUCUAUUUCCCUUCUUUCAUUCAUAAACAGAUCAUUUUCAUGGUCUAGCAAAUAUUGUUCUAAAGGAUCAGCAGGAGGCACGGCAAUAGAAGCAAGACCAAUAAUUUCAUCCUUACUAGGCAAUUCUUUAUCAUGGGGUUGUCUACGGAAUUUAGAGAAAUUAAAAUCAUGAGACAUAUCCCCUAAACCAACAGUAACAAUGUCUUUCUCGCAGUCUAUCUUAGCAUUAACAGUAUUCAAGAAAGGUCUACCAAAUAUAAUGGGACAAAAAUUAUCUUGUGGGGAAGCAAGAACAAGAAAAUCGGUAGGAUAUUUUAUCUUCCCACACAAGACUUCAACAUCCCUAACAAUCCCAAUUGGUGAUAUAGUAUCUCUAUUGGCAAGCUUAAUAGUAACAUCAAUAUCUUCUAUCUCAGUAGGUGCAAUUUCAUUCAUAAAUUCUUUAUAUAUAUAAGGUAUAAGGAAUUGAACUCACACUAGCACCCACAUCACAUAAGCCAUGAUAACAAUGAUCUCCAAUCUUAACAGAAACAACAGGCAUGCCAACAACAGGUUUAGCAAUUCUAGCAGCUUCAUCACAAAAAUAAGUAACAUGCCCAUCAAUAUUAUCAACCAAGAGAUCUUUAACCAUAGCAAUACUAGGUUCAACUUUAACUUGCUCAGAGGGUUUGGGUGUUCUAAUAUUACUUUUGUUGACCACAGUUGAAGCUUUAGCAUGAUCCUUUAUUCUAACAGGGAAUGAUGGUUUCCCAAUAUAAGCAGUAGGAACAAUAGGAUCAACAUUAUAAGUAAUAGUUUCUUCUUCAACUUUAAUGGGUUCAUGUCGCGGUAUUUCCGCGGAGACCUAUGGGACCGGGCGGCCCCUUGUUGGUUCGGCAUGGGAUGACACGUUGCACUAAGAGCAGAUCAGUGCGUGGCAAUUUCAACCGGUUGUAGUUCCAUGAUCCAAUAUCAUCCAAUAGCCUAUACCAUGUCAAUGCCUUUCCCUUCAAAGAUAAGGGGAAGACCAUCUUCUUGACAACAUCCUCGGGAAUACCUGCAAGCUUAAAUAAUCCACAAACUUCAUCCACAUAGAUUAGGUGCAUCAGGAUGUAAUGUUCCAUCUCCUGCAUAAGGAUUAGCUAGCAGUUUCUCUAUCAUAACCGAAGGAAUUUCAUAAUAAAUAUUUCCAGUAGGUGCAGUAGGUUGAGGGGCAACUAAUUGUGGUUCCGGUCGAGGUGAAGAUACCCCGAACAAACCCCUCAAAGGAUCAUUUUCCAUAGUAACAAGCGAUAGUAAAUUUUAGCACACUAUAUAAAUGUUUCCUUACCAAAUUCCACUUACCAAAGGCGCUUCACUCCCCGACAACGGCGCCAGAAAAGAGUCUUGAUGACCCACAAGUAUGGGGGAUCUAUCAUAGUCUUCUCGAUAAGUAAGAGUGUCGAACCCAACGAGGAGCAGAAGGAAAUGACAAGUGGUUUUCAGCAAGGUAUUCUCUGCAAGCACUGAAAUUAUCGGUAACAGAUAGUUUUGUGAUAAGAUAAUUCAUAAUGGGUAACAAGUAAAUAAAGUAACUAAGGUGCAGCAAGGUGGCCCAAUCCUUUUUUUAGCAAAGGACAAGCCUGACGAACUCUUACAUAAAGCAAAGCGCUCCCAAGGACACAUGGGAAUUGUUGUCCAGCUAGUUUUCAUCAUGCUCAUAUGAUUCACGUUCGUUACUUGUAUAAUUUGAUAUGUGGGUGGACCGGUGCUUGGGUGCUGCCCUUCCUUGGACAAGCCUCCCACUUAUGAUUAACCCCUCUCGCAAGCAUCCACAACUACCAAAGAAUAAUUAAGGUAAACCUAACCAUAGCAUGAAACAUAUGGAUCCAAAUCAGCCCCUUACGAAGCAACACAUAAACUAGGGUUUAAGCUUCUGCCACUCUAGCAACCCAUCAUCUACUUAUUAAUUUCCAAUGCCUUCCCCUAGGCCCAAAUAAUGGUGAAGUGUCAUGUAGUCGACGUUCACAUAACACCACUAGAGGAGAGACAACAUACAUCUCAUCAAAAUAUUGAACGAAUACCAAAUUCACAUGACUACUUAUAACAAGACGUCUCCCAUGUCCUCAGGAACAAACAUAACUACUCACAAAGCAUAUUCAUAAUCAUAAUCAGAGGAGUAUUAAUUAUCAUUAAGGAUCUAAAAAUAUAAUCUUCCACCGGAUAAACCAACUAGCAUCAACUACAAGGAGUAAUCAACACUACUAGCAACCCACAGGUACCAAUCUGAGGUUUUGGGACCAAGAUCGAACACAAGAGAUGAACUAGGGUUUGAGAGGAGAUGGUGCUGGUGAAGAUUUUGAUGGAGAUUGACCCCUCUCGAUGAGAGGAUCGAUGGUGAUGACGAUGGCGGCGAUUUCCCCCUCCCGGAGGGAUGUUUCCCAGGCAGAAAAGCUCAGCCGGAGCCCUAGAUUGGUUCUGCCUAGGUUUUGCCUCGAGAUGGCGGUGCUUCGUCCCGAAAGCUUCCUUUUGAUUUUUCCAGGUCAAAACACACCAUAUAGCCAAAUAUGGGCACUGGAGGCCUGCCAGGGGCACGCCCUCCACCCUUGUGGCUGGCUGGUGGCCCCCCUCUGGUACUUUCUUUGCCCAAUAUUUUUUAGAUAUUCCAAAACAUGCUCCGUGAAGUUUCAGGACUUUUGGAGUUUCGCAGAAUAGGUCUCCAAUAUUUGCUCCUUUUCCAGUCCAGAAUUCCAGCUGCCGGCAUUCUCCCUCUUCAUGUAAAUCUUAUAAAAUAAGAGAGAAUAGGCAUAAGUAUUGUGAUAUAAUGUGUAAUAACAACCCAUAAUGCAAUAAAUAUCAAUAUAAAAGCAUGAUGCAAAAUGGACGUAUCACCAUGAGGAAGUGAGUUGGGAUAACACAGAGGACGUGGCGGACGAGUGCCAGCCGGUCGCCGCGAGAGAGCAUGGAAGCGCGCCAUGUAGAAAGUUUCUGCUCGAGCUUGUGCACGAUGGGCAGCAAGCUGGUUGUGGUCGGCUUUCGGAUGGAUAGGGGUAGGCCCAGCUACUGCACAGGGAACUGCGUGACGGGGCAGUGCAUCUCUGCGGCGAUGAGGGCCGCAUGCUUGUCAGUGCACUGGAUGGGAGUGGCGGAGCACUUGGCAAAGUUCGUCUGCAGGCCAGAUGCCACACCGAAGACGCGGAGGAUCUCCCGAAUAGCCAACAUGUCGUGGCGAUCGGGGUGGCAGAAGAUGACGACACCGUCCGCAUAGACCGAGAUGCUAGAACUGGCGUGCCUGGGAGUGAGCCACUGGAGUAGCCCAAGUUUGACCGCACGGAUGAGCAUAGAGUUGAGGACGUCGAUGACGAUGGUGAACAGCAUGGGCGAGACAAGUUGGCAACGUGCCUUAGUCCAACUCGACCAAACGAAUAUUCAUUUUGUCCGGAUUUUGUUUGUUCGGGUCGGCAAAACGGAUACGCGCCUCGGUCAUUUGGUCGUCGGUGCGCCCAACCAGCCAGUCACAUCCUGAUUUAUCCCUUUUUGGGGCUUGAAAUUUGAACCCAAAUAGACAUUGCAAACAUAAUUCAAAACAUUAAUAUAAACAUAAACCUCUACAAAAGGCCAAUCCAACACAUUUAUUAACUAAACUUAAAUUUAAAAGACAUAAAAGAAACUAGAUAGCCCAUCACCGCCGUCAUCUUCAGUUGCCGCCAUCGUCGUCCUCGUCGCGCGCAAGGUCAAUGUAGGCCGGCAACGUCCAGAGGUGGGCUGGCAGCCCCGGCCAGGUGGGAGGCUACUGAAGGAAAUAUGCCCUAGAGGAAAUAAUAAAGUUGUUAUUUUAUAUUUCCUUAUUCAUGCUAAAGGUUUAUUAUUCAUGCUAUAAUUGUAUUGAUCAGAAACCUAAAUACAUGUGUGAAUACAUAAACAAAUAUCGUGUCCCUAGUAAGCCUCUACUAGCCUAGCUCGUUGAUCAAAGAUGGUUAAGGUUUCCUAACUAUAGACAUGUGUUGUCAUUUGAUAAUGGGAUCACAUCAUUAGGAGAAUGAUGUUAUGGACAAGACCCAUCCGUUAGCUUAGCAUAAUGAUCGUUCAGUUUAUUGCUAUUGCUUUUUUCAUGUCAAAUACAUAUUCCUUCGACUAUGAGAUUAUGCAACUCCUGAAUACCGGAGGAAUACCUCGUGUGCUAUCAAACGUCACAACAUAACUGGGUGAUCAUAAAGAUGCUCUACAGGUAUCUCCAAAGGUGUUUGUUGAGUUGUCAUAGAUCAAGCUUAGGAUUUGUCACUCCGAGUAUCGGAGAGGUAUCUCUGGGCCCUCUCGGUAAUACAUAUCAUAAGCUUGCAAGAAAAUGACUAAGGAGUUAGUCACGAGGUGAUGUAUUACAGAAUGAGUAAAGGGACUUGCCGGUAACGAGAUUGAACUAGGUAUAGAGAUAUCAACGAUCGAAUCUCGGGCAAGUAACAUACCGACAGACAAAGGGAAUUAUGUAUGUUGUCAUAAAGGUUCAACCGAUAAAAGAUCUUCGUGGAAUAUGUAGGAAUCAAUAUGGGCAUCCAGGUCCCGCUAUUGGUUAUUGACUGGAGAGGUGUCUCGGUCAUGACUACAUAAUUCCCGAACCCGUAGGGUCGCACGCUUAACAUUCGUUGACGCUAGAGUAGUAUUGGGAUAUUUGAUGAGUGGUAAAAAAAUGUUGUUUGGAGUCCCGGAUGAGAUCCCGGACAUCAUGAGGAGUCUCGGAAUGGUCGAGAGGUAAAGAUUUAUAUAUGGGAGGUCAUAUUUUGGGUUGCGGAAAAAGUGUAGUUUUUUCAGUAUUGUAUUGGGAAGCUUCUAGAAGGUUUCGGAGGAUUCCGGAGGGGUCCGGAAGUCCACAAGUUGGUCCACCAUGACCCAAGGGCUAGAAUGGGCUGUGGGGAGGUGCCCUGGCCUUAUUGGGCUAGGCGCACCAAGUCCUCAAAAGCCCAUGUGGCUAGGGAAGGCAAAAAAGGAAGGAGUCCUAGUAGGAAUAGGAUUGGACUUGGAGUCCAAGUCCUCUCCCCGUUAGCUGUGCCCUAGGGCUUGGAGGGGCUAUUUCCCACGCUCCUCCACCUAUAUAUAGAGGGGAGGGGGCGCUCCAAGAGGACACACCAAGCCCUUGGCGCCCCUCUCUCUCCCGUGACUCCGUAGUUCCACCGCCUUGUCCCGGCGACGCUUAGCGAAGCGCUGUUGGUACUCCACCACCACCAUCACCACCACGUCAUCGUGUUGGUUGUGAUCCCAUCUACUUCUCCUCUCUCUCUUGCUGGAUCAAGAAGGAGGAGACGUCAUCGAGCCACACGUGUGCUAAACUCGGAGGUGCCGUCCGUUCGGCACUAGAUCGGUUGGAUCGUGAAGAGUACAACUACAUCAACCGCGUUGUUAAAUGCUUCUGCUUACGGUCUACGAGGGUACGUAUACACACUCUCCCCUCUCAUUACUAUGCAUCUUCAUGGAUAGAUCUUGCGUGUGCAUAGAAUUUUUUUGUUUUCCAUGCAACAUUUCCCAACAACGGCUGUGGUGGUGCCUGCACAACCUCUGGCUGUGGCGGCGAUGGUGAUCACGUGUCGACGCCCGCGUACUCCAACGUGCACGGCACGGUGUCAGUCCACGACCAGGGCUGGCCGACCAAGGCCAGGUUCCACGUCGCGGGCUCCUCCUCCUCCUGCACCUCCUCCAUGGGCUCCUCCUUGACAACGGUGUCGAGCUCUGGGAUGGCGCGUCACCGACAGCGAAGAGGUCCAUCAUCACAUCGAGGCCCUCCCAUUGGCGCUCGUCGUGGGUGUGCCCGCCUCAUGAGCUCUGAUAACCCACAAGUAUAGGGGAUCACAAUAGUUUUCGAGGGUAGAGUAUUCAACCCAAAUUUAUAGAUUCGACACAAGGGGAGCAAAAGAAUAUUUGCAAGUAUUAGCAGAUGAGUUGUAAAUUCAACCACACCUGGAGAUUAAUUAUCUGCAGCAAAGUGAUCAGUAGCAAAGUAGUUUGAUAGUUUUGAUAAUAGUAGCAGCAGCAAUAGUAACAAUAGCAGUGGCAACUUAGCAAGAACAAUAUAAGAGAAAUUCAUAGGCAUUGGAUUGAUGAUUUUUUGGAUGAUAUUCAUCAUGCGACAGUCAUAACCUAGGGCGAUACGGCACUAGCUCCAGUUAAUAAAUAUAAUGUAGGCAUGUGCUACCUCUUGAGCAUGCGUUGGUUUUCCCUUGAAGAGGAAAGGGUGAUGCAGCAAAGUAGCGUAAGUAUUUCCCUCAGUUUUUGAGAACCAAGGUAUCAAUCCAGUAGGAGACUACACGCAAAUAGCCUAGUACCCGCACAAACAAUCAAGAACCUUGCAACCAACGCGAUAAAGGGGUUGUCAAUCCCUUCAUGGCCACAAGCAAAAGUGAGAUCUGAUAAAGGUAAUAAGAUAAAUAUUUUUGGUAUUUUUGUUGUAUAGAUUGGAAAAUAAAGAUUGCAAAAUAAAUAGUAAACUAGAAUUAUAGAUCGGAAACUUUUAUGAUGUAAAGUAGACCUGGGGGCAAUAGGUUUCACUAGUGGCUUCUCUCAAGAUAGCAUAUAUUACGGUGGGCGAACAAAUUACUGCGCAAUUGAUAGAAAAGCGCAUAGUUAUGAGAAUAUCUAGGCAUGAUCAUGAACAUAGGCAUCACGUCCGUGUCAAGUAGACCGAAAUGAUUCUGCAUCUACUACUAUUACUCCACACAUCGACCGCUAUCCAGCAUGCAUCUAGUUUAUUAAGUUCAUAAGAAUGGAGUAACGCAUUAGGCAAGAUGACAGGAUGUAGAGGGAUAAACUCAAGCAAUAUGAUAUAAACCCCAUCUUUUUAUCCUUGAUGGCAACAAUACAAUACGUGCCGGUUUCCUUUCUGUCACUGGGAUCGAGCACCGCAAGAUUGAACCCAAAGCUAAGCACUUCUCCCAUUGCAAGAAAGAUCAAUCUAGUAGGCCAAACUAAACCGAUAAUUCGAAGAGACUUGCAAAGAUAUUAAAUCAUGCAUAUAAGAAUUCAGAGAAGAAUCAAAUAUUGUUCAAAGAUAAUCUUGAUCAUAAACCCACAAUUUAUCGGAUCUUGGCAAACACACCGCAAAAAGAAUUACAUCGAAUAGAUCUCCAAGAAGAUCGAGGAGAACUUUGUAUUGAGAUACAAAGAGAGAGAAGAAGCCAUCUAGCUAAUAACUAUGGACCCGAAGGUCUGUGGUAAACUACUCACACAUCAUCGGAGAGGCUAUGGUGUUGAUGUAGAAGGCCUCCAUGAUCGAAUCCCCCUCCAGCAGAUUGCCGGAAAAGGCCCCAAGAUGGGAUCUCACAGGUACAGAAGGUUGCGGCGGUGGAAAAGUGGUUUCGUGGCUCCCCUGGAUGUUUUCAGGGUAUAAGAGUAUAUAUAGGCGAAAGAAGUAGGUCGGUGGAGCUACGAGGGGCCCACGGGGGUGGGGGGCGCGCCUACCCCCCUGGGCGGGCCCUCCUGCCUCGUGGACGCCUCGUUGCUUCCUUGACUUCCACUCCAAGUCUCCUGGAUUGCGUUUGUUCCAAAAAAGAUCCUCACGAAGGUUUCGUUCCGCUUGGAUUCCGUUUGAUAUUCCUUUUCCGCGAAACACUGAAAUAGGCAAAAAAACAGCAAUUUGCACUGGGCCUUCGGUUAAUAGGUUAGUCCUAAAAAUAAUAUAAAAGAGCAUAAUAAAGCCCAUUAAACAUCCAAAACAGAUAAUAUAAUAGCAUGGAACAAUCAAAAAUUAUAGAUACGUUGGAGACGUAUCAAGCAUCCCCAAGCUUAAUUCCUGCCCGUCCUCGAGUAGGUAAAUGAUAAAAUAGAAUUUUUGAUGUGGGAUGCUACCUAACAUAAUUUUCAAUAUAAUUCUCUUUAUUGUGGCAUGAAUGUUUAGAUCCAAAAGAUUCUAGACAAAGUUUUAAUAUUGACAUAAAAAUAGUAAUACCUCAAGCAUGCUAACCAAGCAAUUAUGUCUUAUCAAAAUAACAUAGCCAAAGAAAGCUUAUCCCUACAAAAUCAUAUAGUUUAGCCAUGCUUCAUUUUCGUCACACAAAAUGCUCCCAUCAUGCACAACCCCGAUGAGAAGCCAAGCAAUUGUUUCAUACUUAGCCUUUUCAAACUCUUUCAACUUUUACGCAAUAUAUGAGCGCAAGCCAUGGACAUAACACUAUGGGUGGAAUAGCAUAUGAUGAUGGGGGUUAUGUGAGAAGACAAAAAAGGAGAAAGUCUCACAUUGACGCGGCUAAUCAACGGGCUAUAGAGAUGCCCAUCAAUUGAUGUCAAUGCGAGGAGUAGGGAUUGCCAUGCAACGGAUGCACUAGAGCUAUAAAUAUAUGAAAGCUCAUCAAAAGAAACUAAGUGGGUGUGCAUCCAACUUGCUUGCUCACGAAGACCUAGGGCAUUUUGAGGAAGCCCAUCAUUGGAAUAUACAAGCCAAGUUCUAUAAUGAAAAAUUCCCACUAGUAUAUGAAAGUGACAAAAUAAGAAACUCUCUAUCAUGAAGAUCAAUGUGCUAUUUUGAAGCACAAGUGUGGAAAAAGGAUAGUAACAUUGUCCCUUCUCUCUUUUUCUCUCAUUUUUUUGUUUGGGCUUCUUUGGCCUCUUUUUUUAUUUGGGCUUCUUUGGCCUCUUUUUUUUCGUCCGGAGUCUCAUCCCGACUUGUGGGGGAAUCAUAGUCUCCAUCAUCCUUUCCUCACAUGGGACAAUGCUCUAAUAAUGAAAAUCAUCACACUUCUAUUUAUUUACAACUCAAGAAUUACAACUCGAUACUUAGAACAAAAUAUGACUCUAUGUGAAUGCCUCCGGCGGUGUAUCGGGAUAUGCAAUGAAUCAAGAGCGACAUGUAUGAAAGAAUUAUGAAGGUGGCUUUGCCACAAAUACGAUGUCAACUACAUGAUCAUGCAAAGCAAUAUGACAAUGAUGGAGCGUGUCAUAAUAAACGGAACGGUGGUAAGUUGCAUGGCAAUAUAUCUCAGAAUGGCUAUGGAAAUGCCAUAAUAGGUAGGUAUGGUGGCUGUUUUAAGGAAGAUAUAAGGAGGCUUAUGUGUGAUAAAGCGUAUCAUAUCACGGGGUUUGGAUGCACCGGCGAAGUUUGCACCAACUCUCGAGGUGAGAAAGGGCUAUGCACGGUACCGAAGAGGCUAGCAAUGAUGGAAGGGUGAGAGUGCGUAUAAUCCAUGGACUCAACAUUAGUCAUAAAGAACUCACAUACUUAUUGCAAAAAUCUACAAGUCAUCAAAACUAAGCACUACGCGCAUGCUCCUAGAGGGAUAGAUUGGUAGGAAAAGACCAUCGCUCGUCCCCGACCGCCACUCAUAAGGAAAGCAAUCAAAGAACACCCCAUGCUUCAAAUUUGUCACACAGGUUUACCAUACGUGCAUGCUACGGGACUUGCAAUCCUCAACACAAGUACUUCUCAAUUCCACAAUUACCCAACUAGCAUGACUCUAACAUUACCACCUUUAUAUCUCAAAACAACUAUCAAGUAUCAAACUCAUCAUAGUAUUUAAUGCACUCUAUAUGAAAGUUUUUAUUAUACCCAUCUUGGAUGCCUAUCAUAUUAGGACUAAUUUUAUAGCCAAAUCAAAUUACCAUGCUGUUCUAAAAGACUCUCAAAAUAAUAUAAGUGAAGCAUGAGAGAUCAACAAUUUCUAUAAAAUAAAACCACCACCAUGCUCUAAAAAGGUAUAAGUGAAGCACGAGAGCAACAUUUAUCUAGCUCAAAAGAUAUAAGUGAAGCACAUAGAGUAUUCUAAUAAAUUCCGAUACAUGUGUGUCUCUCCCAAACGGUGUGUACAGAAAGGAUGAUUGUGGUAAACUAAAAAGCAAAGACUCACAUCAUACAAGACGCUCCAAGCAAAACACAUAUCAUGUGGUGAAUAAAAAUAUAGCCUCAAGUAAAGUUACCGAUAGACGAAGACGAAAGAGGGGAUGCCUUCCGGGGCAUCCCCAAGAUUAGGCUUUUGGUUGUCCUUGAAUUUAACCUUGGGGUGCCUUGGGAAUCCCCAAGCUUAGGCUCUUGCCACUCCUUGUUCCAUAAUCCAUCAAAUCUUUACCUAAAAACUUGAAAACUUCACAACACAAAACUCAAACAGAAAAUCUCAUGAGCUCCGUUAGUAUAAGAAACAAACCACCACCUUAAGGUACUGUAAUGAACUCAUUCUUUAUUUAUAUUGGUGUUAAACCUACUGUAUUCCAACUUCUCUAUGGUUCAUACCCCCCGAUACUCGCCAUAGAUUCAUCAAAAUAAGCAAACAACACACGGAAAACAGAAUCUGCAAAAAAUAGAACAGUCUGUAGCAAUCUGAUUUGUUCGAAUACUUCUGAAACUCCAAAAAUUCUGAAAAACUUGGAAAACCUGGAUAAUUUGUAUAUUGAUCUACUUCAAAAAGAAUUGGUAUUUUAUCACGUUCUGGUGAUUUUUAACAAUUAUUUUUGUGAGUGUAAAGUUUCUGUCUUUUUCAGCAAGAUCAAACAACUAUCACCCAGGAAGAUCCUAUUGGUUCUACUUGGCACAAUCACUAAUUAAAACAUAAGAACACAUAUAAACAGAGGCUAGAUGAAUUAUUUAUUACUAAGCAGGAACAAAAAGCAAGGAACAAAAAUAAAAUUGGGUUGCCUCCCAACAAGCGCUAUCGUUUAACGCCCCUAGCUAGGCAUUGAUAAUUUUAAUGAUGCUUACAUUAAAGACAAGAAUUAAAGCACAAAGAGAGCAUCAUAGAACACGUGAUAAACACAUCUAAGUCUAACAUACUUCCUAUGCAUAGGAAUUUUAUAUGCAAACAAAUUAUCAUAGCAAGCAAAAAUUAGCAUAUGCAAGGAAGAAGAAAGAGACGAUAGCAAUCUCAACAUGACGAGACGUAAUUUAGUAAGAUAAAAAUUUAUACAACCAUAUUUUCCUCUCCCAUAAUAAUUACAUGUAGGAUCAUAGGAAAAUUCAACAAAAUAGCUAUCACAUAACAUAUUCUCAAUAGGAUCCACAUGCAUGCGAAGUUGACAGUCUUCCAAAAUAGUGGGAUUAUCAUUAACUAAAGUCAUGACCUCUCCAAACCCACUUUUAUCAAAGGGAUAAUUAGAUUUAUGCCCCUAGUUGUGUCCCACUCGUCUGUUUUACCCCUAAUUCCCAAAAGUCACCGGUUCUGUCCAAGUCACUUUGCUCCUCUUAUGCUUUUGCCCUUUGACCGUUUGACCGUCAGUUUGAAAACUUCAUAACUAAUUCAUACUGAAUCAGAAAAAUGCAAAUAAGAUACCAAAAUGUUCAGGAAAACAUCACCUAUAUGUCAGUGUCAUUUGCAUUCAUGAAAAAAGUGUUGGAAAGUGCACAUCCGAGUUUUAGCUCUUUUGAUACCACCAUGAAUAGUGAACUCUAAAAAAAUUCAAAACAAAUAUGGUGGCGAAGAACAACAAAUGUUCUAAGUGCUUGCCAAGUUUCAUUAGGGAACGACAUUCGUGGAAGUCGUGGCAAAAAAAUAAUCUAUUUUGGAGUGCUGAGUGUUUUUUUCCACGGCACCCACGAAUGUUAUUCCCUGAUGAAACUUGGGAGGCACUUAAAACAUUUGUCAUUCUUUGCCAGCAAUUUUUUUUUAAUUUUUUUGAACUUUUUUAGAUUUUACUAUUCAUGGUGGUAGCAUAAGAGCUAAAACUCGGAUGGGCACUUUCCAACACUUUUUUCAUGAAUGCAAAUGACACUGACAUAUAGGUGAUGUUUUUUUGAACAUUUUGGUAUCUUAUUUGCAUUUUUCCGAUUUAGUAUGAAUUAGUUAUGAAGUUUUCAAACUGAUGGUCCAACGGUCAAAGGGCAAAAGCAUAAUAGGAGCAAAGUGACUUGGACAGAACCAGUGACUUUUGGGAAUUAGGGGUAAAACAGACGAGUGGGACACAACUAGGGGCAUAAAUCUAAUUAUCCCUUUAUCAAAAAUACCAUAAGAUUGAACAUUCUCCAAAUACGUGGGAUAUAAAGUUGACACUCUUCCAAACCCACUUUCAAUAUUAUUGCAAACACUAUAAUCAAUCUCAUAUUCAUCUUGGGGCUUAAAUAAAUUUUCAAGAUUGUAAGAAGAAUCACCUGAAUCAUGAUUAUUGCAACAAAUAGUGGACAUAGCAAAACUAGCAUCCCCAAACUUAGGGUUUUGCAUAUUAUUAGCACAACUGACAUUAAUAGAAUUUAUUAUACCAUCAUUGCAAUCAUGCUUUUCAUUCAAAGAUCUACCAUGAAUCACUUCAUAAAGUACUUCAUCACAAUUUCCAGAUUCACGGAUUUCAAGCAAAACCUCAUAAAGAUAAUCUAGUGCACACAACUCACUAGCAAUUGGUUCAUAAUUGGAUCUCUUAAAAAGAUUAGCAAGGGGACGAGGAUCCAUAUCAAUAGAUUUUUAGCAAGCGAAGAUGCAAGCACAUAGAAGGCACAUGGCAACACAAGCAAACGAAAAAGACGAACAGAAGAGGGGCGAAGAAAAGGUAAAGGUGAAGUGGGGGAGAGGAAAACGAGAGGCAAAUGGCAAAUAAUGUAAUGCGGGGGAUAAGAGUUUGUGAUGGGUACUUGGUAUGUCUUGACUUGUGCGUAGAUCUCCCCGGCAAUGGCGCCAGAAAUCCUUCUUGCUACCUUUUGAGCUGGCGUUGGUUUUCCCUUGAAGACGAAAGGGUGAUGUAGCAAAGUAGCGUAAGUAUUUCCCUCAGUUUUUGAGAACCAAGGUAUCAAUCCAGUAGGAGACUACAUGCAAAUCGCCUAGUACCUGCACAAACAAUCAAGAACCUUGCAACCAACGCGAUAAAGGGGUUGUCAAUCCCUUCAUGGCCACUUGCAAAAGUGAGAUCUGAUAAAGAUAAUAAGAUAAAUAUUUUUGGUAUUUUUGUUGUAUAGAUUGGAAAAUAAAGAUUGCAGAAUAAAUAGUAAACUAGAAUUAUAGAUCGGAAACUUAUAUGAUGUAAAGUAGACCCGGGGGCCAUAGGUUUCACUAGUGGCUUCUCUCAAGAUAGCAUAUAUUAUAGUGGGUGAACAAAUUACUGCCGAGCAAUUGAUAGAAAAGCGCAUAGUUAUGAGAAUAUCUAGGCAUGAUCAUGAACAUAGGCAUCACGUCCGUGUCAAGUAGACCGAAACGAGUCUGCAUCUACUACUAUUACUCCACACAUCGACCGCUAUCCAGCAUGCAUCUAGAGUAUUAAGUUCAUAAGAACGGAGUAACGCAUUAGGCAAGAUGACAUGAUGUAGAGGGAUAAACCCAAGCAAUAUGAUAUAAACCCCAUCUUUAUAUCCUCGAUGGCAACAAUACAAUACGUGUCGGUUCCCUUUCUGUCACUGGGAUCGAGCACCGCAAGGUUGAACCCAAAGCUAAGCACUUCUCCCAUUGCAAGAAAGAUCAAUCUAGUAGGCCAAACUAAACUGAUAAUUCGAAGAGACUUGCAAAGAUAUUAAAUCAUGCAUAUAAGAAUUCAGAGAAGAAUCAAAUAUUGUUCAUAGAUAAUCUUGAUCAUAAACCCACAAUUCAUCGGAUCUCGGCAAACACACCACAAAAAUAAUUACAUCGAAUAGAUCUCCAAGAAGAUCAAGGAGAACUUUGUAUUGAGAUCCAAAGAGAGAGAAGAAGCCAUCUAGCUAAUAACUAUGGACCCGAAGGUCUGUGGUAUACUACUCACACAUCAUCGGAGAGGCUAUGGUGUUGAUGUAGAAGCCCUCCGUGAUCAAAUCCCCCUCCGGCAGAUCGCCAGAAAAGGCCCCAAGAUGGGAUCUCACGGGUACAGAAGGUUGCGGCGGUGGAAAAGUGGUUUCGUGGCUCCCCUGGAUCUUUUCAGGGUAUAAGAGUAUAUAUAGGCGAAAGAAGUAGGUCGGUGGAGCUACGAGGGGCCCACGAGGGUGGGGGGCGUGCCUACCCCCUGGGCGCGCCCUCCUACCUCGUGGCCGCCUCGUUGCUUCCUUGACUUCCACUCCAAGUCUCGUGGAUUGAGUUUGUUCCCAAAAAGAUCCCCGCAAAGGUUUCGUUCCAUUUGGAUUCUGUUUGAUAUUCUUUUUCUACAAAACACUAAAAUAAGCAAAAAACAGCAAUUUGCACUGGGCCUUUGGUUAAUAGGUUAGUCCCAAAAAUAAUAUAAAAGAGCAUAAUAAAGCCCAUUAAACAUCCAAAAUAGAUAAUAUAAUAGCAUGGAACAAUAAAAAAUUAUAGAUACGUUGGAGACGUAUCAACAUGUAUUUCGUAAAUAGUCAUACGUGCUUAUGGAAAGAACUUGCAUGACAUGUUUGGUCCUACCCUCCCGUGGCAGCGGGGUCGUAUUGUAAACUAAGGGAUAUUAAGGCAUCCUUUUAAUAGAGAACCGGAACAAAGCAUUAACACGCGGUGAAUACAUGAACUCCUCAAACUACGGUCAUCUCCGGGAGUGGUCCCGACUAUUGUCACUUCGUGGUUUCCGGAUCAUAACACGUAGUAGGUAACUAUAACUUGCAAGAUCGGAUCUAGAACAUGGAUAUAAUGCUGAUAACAUAAACGGUUCAGAUAUGAAAUGUAACAUCCCAAAUUUUCAAUUUGGAUUGUUAUACAUUAGAUCAUCAUGCAUAUCAUAUUUUAUUGCAUUUUGAUUUGCGAUCCUAGAAAUUUCACGCAACUCUAGGACCCACGGAGAGAGUUGGGGAUUUUGUUAUUUUCAUAUUUGGGUUUUCUCAAAUUUUGAAAAUAGGAUCAUUUGUUUUAAUUAUUUUUCUCUCCGAAAAUAUUUCAUAUCAAAAUAUAUGAGAGGGGAUAAAAUGACUUCUCCACAAAUAAUGAAAUAUUGGAGGAAAAAUAUUAAAAACAAAUAUUUGAUUUUAUUUGAUUUUAUUCGAAUUAGGAAAAAUACGCGUUUUUCAAAUUUGCAUUUUAGGCCCAAAUAAAUGUUCAUCUUGUCCGGCUUAUUUGUAGAGGACGGGGAAAAUUUAUUUCGGGAUUUUUGGAGUCUGUUUAGUAUUUCUUUUCUUACUUUUUCCGCACGUUCGAAUUAUUUAUUUAUUUUUAAAAAAAGUCAACCGCCUUACGGGCCGUGUCCGACCCGGACACCUCAGCCCGGCCGGCCUUUAAAGCCGUGGCCCGAGCCCCGCCUCAGCCUAAGUCGCCGCCGCCCGCGCCGCCNNNNNNNNNNNNNNNNNNNNNNNNNNNNNNNNNNNNNNNNNNNNNNNNNNNNNNNNNNNNNNNNNNNNNNNNNNNNNNNNNNNNNNNNNNNNNNNNNNNNNNNNNNNNNNNNNNNNNNNNNNNNNNNNNNNNNNNNNNNNNNNNNNNNNNNNNNNNNNNNNNNNNNNNNNNNNNNNNNNNNNNNNNNNNNNNNNNNNNNNNNNNNNNNNNNNNNNNNNNNNNNNNNNNNNNNNNNNNNNNNNNNNNNNNNNNNNNNNNNNNNNNNNNNNNNNNNNNNNNNNNNNNNNNNNNNNNNNNNNNNNNNNNNNNNNNNNNNNNNNNNNNNNNNNNNNNNNNNNNNNNNNNNNNNNNNNNNNNNNNNNNNNNNNNNNNNNNNNNNNNNNNNNNNNNNNNNNNNNNNNNNNNNNNNNNNNNNNNNNNNNNNNNNNNNNNNNNNNNNNNNNNNNNNNNNNNNNNNNNNNNNNNNNNNNNNNNNNNNNNNNNNNNNNNNCGACGCCGCCACCCGCCGGAGCUGCUUGCCGCCGCCGCCAUCACGCGAACCGAGGUAGCCGCCGGUUUUUCUCGAAAAACCGUUCGGUUUUAUUUCGAAACCGAGAUGCGUUUUUUAUAUUAGACCGGUUUAUUUUUUUCGGUUUAGUUAAAUAGCGAACGCCCGUUUGUUCGUUCAUUUUAACGAACGGUUUUCGUUUUUUUACAGACAGCGAACGUUCGAUCGUUAGCCUGUUCGCCAGUUAUUCUUUUUUCUCGGAUUUUCCGCAAUUAUUCCUGAUCGCGAUUUCCGAUCUGUUUUUUUCGUUUUAGUAUAACUUUUCACUUGUUUAUGGGAAUCAGGCGAUUCAAGCGUCUAGAGUUUUGUCUCGAAAUUCUCUCUCCGUUUAACCAACUCAAACAAGUUUUUGCUACCAUAAAAUUUGACUUAGAUCCAGAUUAGUAAACGAAGCUUGUUUCUUUCGCCAUUUGACCCGCGUUGCUUCGUUUGAAUUGAUUCUUUUUGCAAACCGGAGUUCUUAAGUUGAACUUUCUGGUUAGAUCUGUUAUUUUGAGUUUUAUUUCGUGCACCCUUGCUUGAUUUCUUAUGUAUGUAUUGUUUGUUUGCGAUAGAGUACCCGGAGUGCAAAGCGUGCUACUACGAGUCUCUAGGUUUCACGGAUCAUCAGCAAGGCAAGUAACACUUUGAUCAUACUUUUCAUCACCCAGUUUUAUUGCAUUAGACCAAUCCUCAAACAGUAGCAUGAUUAGGAUCUAAUUAAUAUGUGGGUUUUGGGAAGUAGAUGAGGUAGUACCUAUUGUCCUGUUUACUAUCAAACCUUUGGGAGUUACUUCUACGUUUGCUUAUAUUGCUAUGCUAUGCUCGUAGACGUGGAUUGGGUUUGAGUGAAUUCUUCAUGACAGAUGUGAGAUUAUUAAUUUAUGGUUCAACUUAAGGUGGCUACUUUAAUUUACAUCUGGGUGGAUUGAGGCACCUGGAGAACCCAGUGUUGCCUGUAUUUUUGGAUAUCCCGGAGUACCCGUGUGAUCAUCCUAUGGACCGCCACCCAGGCUCAAAGGGAUCAUGAGAUUAUUCAUGCUAGAAACUUCCGUGUGCAGCCACAAGCUAUUAUGGGCUCUAGCAUAGUUGAGUAGGUUACAUGACCUCUUGAAGAGGUGUGCUAGCAGAUGUAGGGGAAAGUAGGUGUAACUGUCCACCCGGAGUAAAGAGUAGUGUUUCUGAAAGACCGUGUCUCGGUCAUCCGUUUCUCAAACACCAUGUAGUGCGAGAAAUCAAGUGGAGGCGAUCGAGUCUUGUGGGGAAAAGUGCACAAACCUCUGCAGAGUGUACAAACUAAUCAUGAUUAGCCGUGUCCUCGGUUAUGGACAUCUUGAGUUUCUGGUUCUUGGAUUAUCAUGUGAAUCUCAUCAUCAUGUUACUUAAUUUAAUUUCAUUGGGUUAAUCACGUUCUUAAUUGGGAUUGAGUUGGAGGUACCUUCUCAAUGUUUAGCAACCACCAUGAUAGUUAAAUAAAAUUUAUUCCUUUGUGGUAGGGAAAAAUUGGCUUUUCGCAAAACUGUAACCAUAGAGCUUUCCACCAGCCAAAUAUGCAUGUAGUGAUAGCAUUAUUCUGUUCAUUACUCUCUAUGUGUUACUUUGCCAGCAUAUUCCAUGUGCUGACCCGUUUUCGGGCUGCAACGUAUCAUGUUGCAGACUUUCCAGACGACGAGUAAGGAGCCUUAGGUCGUGGUCUUAUACUCAGUGAUGCCAUUGGAGUUGAUGGACUCACUUUAUCUUCCAAGCCUUCCGCUGUUAUCGUAUUUUAGAUGGCCCUAAGCCAUAUUUAUUGUAUUGAGUUCUCUUGAACUAUUCGAUGUAAUAAUUGUGUGAAUGCUACUCUGUUAUAAAUCCUUCAAAGUACUGUGCGUGUCAGCAUUACCGAUCCAGGGAUGACACUGAUGCACAUAGACUAGACUGUUUGAGGUCUGGUCGCUACAGAGAUGGUAUCAGAGCACACGCUGACUGUAGGACACGACCACUAAGAUAAAGACCUAGAUCACUACUCUCUUCUCAUUUCUGACUCCUCUCCUUUCUUCCACUCUUUUAGGAUGGCGGAUGCAAGGAACAAGUUCGCGCAACCAGAUGAGGAUACACCUCUUGGACGACACUUGAAGGAAGUUACUAAGUACCUGAACAUCGGAAUACCAAGCUUCACCGGAACCUACAACUCCACACUACCAGAAGAGGAGCACUGGAUGAUUCAAGUUCAAGUUCCAGGAAGGACGUUCACGCCAAUCACUGAGCCCAUAGAGUUUUCCUUUGAUUCACCAACCUGGAGUCUAGGAAAGAGCAUGGCAGCCCACAUCACCAUGGGACGCGUUGGAGAAGUGUACCACAAUGAUCUCAAGGAUACUAUCUAUCAGAUUUGUGGGCGCCGAGACGAGCAAUGGGAGAUGAUCAGUACCAGGAAGGAUAGAUCUAUUGUAGCUUUCAUCCAGGAGUUAAACCAGCACAUUCGUCGCCAGGAGAACCAGAUGUGCGCAGACAUGAUAGAACUGAAGAAGGAAAAGACUAGGAUCAUGGAACUGGAGGAAGAACUCAAGGCUACACGCGAGGAUUAUAUGGAGGAAAUCGUCGCACUAGUGGAGAAGAAUGAUGACCUGGCAAAGAAGCUAGGACUUUUCAUGGGAGACCCAGCACCAGGAGGAGAUGAUGACGAUUCUACUUGCCCGGAGAAUUACAUCAUCAUUGACGACACCGACUCGGACCCCAGUGAGGAUGAUUUGGAGGAUGAAGCCGGAGCAGAUAUCAUGGAGUCUUCGACUGAGCAAUUUUUCUAGUAGACCACCAAAUUAGUAGUAGUAUUCCACCAUGUAUAUAUUAUAGUCCAAGCACUUUGUAACGAUAGUUAGAACGAUUGUAUGCCUUGUUUGAAUUGAUUGGAGUGAUAUGAUUGUGUUUGUCUCAUGUGCAUAUGGGUAGUGUUUCCCUCUAGACCUCUGUAACACCCACGAUGCGGCUAUAUCUCCCACGUGUCGAGGCACGACUUAGAGGCAUAACCGCAUAGUGGUUUUGUUGCAAGAAGGGUCAUCUUCACACAAUCCCAUGUAAUGAACAAGAAUGGGAUAACGAGAGUUGUCUUACAAUCGCCACUUCACACAAUACAUAAAUAUAAUCCAUACAUCAUCCAAAAUACACACAUAGACCGACUACGGUCAAAAUCCAUAUGAAAAUAAGAUAACCCCAAAUGCUAGGUCCCCGAUCGUCCCAACUGGGCUCCACUACUGAUCAUCAGGAAAAGAAACAUAGUAACGACCACGUUCCUCGUCGAACUCCCACUUGAGCUCGGUUGCAUCAUCUGCACUGGCAUCGUCGACACCUGCAACUGUUUUGGAAGUAUCUGUGAGUAACGAGGACUCAACAAUCUCACAACCGCGAGAUCAAGACUAUUUAAGCUUAUAGGAAAAGAUGGUGUAAUGAGGUGGAGCUGCAGCAGGCACUAAGCAUAUAUGGUGGCUAACAUACGCAAAAGAGAGCGAGAAGAGAAGCAACGGAACGGUCGUCAUCUAGUAGUGACCAAGAAGUGAUCCUGAACUCCUACUUACGUCAUACAUAACCCGAACCGUGUUCACUUCCCGGACUCCGCCGCGAAGAGACCAUCACGGCUACACACACAGUUGAUGUAUUUUAAUUAAGUCAAGUGACAAGUUCUCUACAACCGGACAUUAACAAAUUCCCAUCUGCCUCAUAACCGCAGGCACGGCUUUCGAAAGAUAAUACCCUGCAGGGGUGUCCCAACUUAGCCCAUCAUAAGCUCUCACGGUCAACGAAGGAUAAACCUUCUCCUGGAAAGACCCGAUCAGUCUUGGAAUCCCGGUUUACAAGACAUUUUGACAAUGGUAAAACAAGACCAGCAAAGCCACCCGAAUGUGCCGACAAAUCCCGAUAGGAGCUGCACAUAUCUCGUUCUCAGGGCACACCAGAUUGUCCAAGCUUCCGAUAGGCGAUCCCAGAGUUGCCCCUGGUGGCCACCGGCGACUGACAGGUUGGACCAAUACUCAGAGGAGCACUGGCCCGGGGGUUUAAAUAAAGAUGACCCUCGGGCUCGCGAAAACCCGGGGGAAAAGGCUUAGGUGGCAAAUGGUAAAACCAAAGUUGGGCCUUGCUGGAGGAGUUUUAUUCAAGGCGAACUGUCAAGGGGGUCCCAUAAAUCACCCAACCGCGUAAGGAACGCAAACUCAAGGAACAUAAUACCGGUAUGACGGAAACUAGGGCGGCAAGAGUGGAACAAAACACCAGGCAUAAGGCCGAGCCUUCCACCCUUUUACCAAAUAUAUAGAUGCAUUAAUUAAAUAAGAGAUAUUGUGAUAUUCCAAAAAUAUCCAUGUUCUAACAUGGAACAAACUUCAACUACACCUGCAACUAGCAACGCUAUAAGAAGGGCUGAGCAAAAGCAGUAACUUAGCCAAACAACGGUUUGCUAGGAAAGGAUGGUUAGAGGCUGACAUGGCAAUAUGGGAGGCAUGAUAUAGCAAGUGGUAGGUAGCGCAUCAUGGCAAUAGAGCGAACAACUAGCAAAGCAAAGAUAGAAGUGAUUUCGAGGGUAUGGUCAUCUUGCCUGCAAGGUUCUCAGAGUUGUCGAAAGCUUGAUCCUCGUAAGCGUACUCAACAGGUUCCUCGUUCACGAACUCGUCUGCCGGCUCUACCCAAAACAAGAACACAAGCAACGGAACCACAAUCAAUCACGAGAAAUGCACAAGCAACAUGAUGCACAACAUGUAUGAUAUGCGAGAUGUGAUAUGCGAUGCAUAUGCGUGCUCCGGAAGAAAAAUGAUGAACAAGCCAGUAACUUGGCAAACCAAGCAUUCCAUUGGAAAGAUGAGAUGAUUUCAGUCGAAAUCGAUAUAAAGAUCACCGGAAACGGAUGCACAAUUUGCAAAUGGCAAGCAAAACAAGAAUGACACGAAGCUGCGAUUAACAGCAUGAUAGCACUUAGAAUGCAACAAGAAACUCUGCUACAGCCCUCCAACGUAGCAACAAAGCAUAUGGCAGUAAUCUACAGGAGAUUCUUGACAAAAGAUGAACACUGAGAUAUGGAUAUAUCACAACAUAACAAGCUCAAACAAGCAUGGCAAAAGUGCAAAAGAUAUCAGGUUUACAGACUUGAUGAAAUUACUGGAAAUGACUGAAACAGCAUCAGAUAGCAAUGUUCAGAGCACGAAAUCAACAUGCUACAGGAACUUAACAUGGCAAAACAAGGCAUGGCAGUAUUCUACUAAAUGCAUAUGACAAAAGUCCCUUAGUGACCAUAAGCCAAAAAGGACCAGAAGAUAUGAUGGCAACCAUGUAAACAUAGCAACUUCGUUAACAGGUUUCAGACUUGGCAGAAAACAGAGCAUGGCAGAAACAGACAUUAUAAGGGCAUCUUUGUGAGCUUGAUGCACUCACCACAAAGCAAUGCAUGACAAAACAAGCAUACCUACAGCAAUAUGGCAAGUUUAUGAAGCUAUCCAUGGCAAGAGAAAAUACAUAGAAUGUAUGAAACAAGUACAACAAGCUUGGCAAAAUUGAAUAUCAUGUUAAGAAUCUGCCAGAAAUAUUUUAUAGCAAAAGUAGAGCAAGAUUGAGUCAUGUUAUGGCACUCCAUAAUUGCAAACAAGGGCAGGAAUCGAUCAAUUACAACAAUAUCUACAAAACAUCCUUACUGAACAUCACCAAAAUAAGCAUGGAUCUCUCUGUAGCCACAUGGAUACAUAGCAACAAAAUAACAACAGACGGACUUGGUAAAUUUACAAGUCCCUGAAAACAGAAACAUCAUGAAGCCUAGUUUGCAUUCUUGUGCUAGUCACCACAUAGAUAACAAAAAUACAUGGCAUACACCACUGUAAAGAUGGCAUGGCAUACAUCAAAACACAGGUAGAGCUCAUGCCCAUAAGAUGCACAGAUUAAAUGCAACAAAAAUAACAAAUCCGCAAGUUCUGAUAAGUGCCAGCAGAUAACAGCAACUAGCACUCUUGCAUCAGAGAUUUGGUCAUCAAGAUGAACUCAAAUGAACAUGGUGCAAUGGAACAAAAUGAAGAGCAUCUAGAGACGAACAUUUCGAUAUAUUACACGCGUGAAACGGAGCUAUAUGCAGAUAGUUAUGAUGCGAUGAACAGGUGCACAUAUUGUAAAAUAUUAGGACAGGAUUUUCGGGAGAGGGGAGAGUCAACCUUUGGCGUUGACUGGAUCGGGAUCCAGAUCGGAUCGAGGCCGAGCUCGCCGGAGCAGCUGGCUCGACGGCGGCCGGCGCUCGGGGGGAGGGAGAGGAGCCGGAGAGGAGGGAGACGACGCGGGCGGCGGAGGACGACGGCGGCGGGGUCCGGCGAGGCGGCGGGNNNNNNNNNNNNNNNNNNNNNNNNNNNNNNNNNNNNNNNNNNNNNNNNNNNNNNNNNNNNNNNNNNNNNNNNNNNNNNNNNNNNNNNNNNNNNNNNNNNNNNNNNNNNNNNNNNNNNNNNNNNNNNNNNNNNNNNNNNNNNNNNNNNNNNNNNNNNNNNNNNNNNNNNNNNNNNNNNNNNNNNNNNNNNNNNNNNNNNNNNNNNNNNNNNNNNNNNNNNNNNNNNNNNNNNNNNNNNNNNNNNNNNNNNNNNNNNNNNNNNNNNNNNNNNNNNNNNNNNNNNNNNNNNNNNNNNNNNNNNNNNNNNNNNNNNNNNNNNNNNNNNNNNNNNNNNNNNNNNNNNNNNNNNNNNNNNNNNNNNNNNNNNNNNNNNNNNNNNNNNNNNNNNNNNNNNNNNNNNNNNNNNNNNNNNNNNNNNNNNNNNNNNNNNNNNNNNNNNNNNNNNNNNNNNNNNNNNNNNNNNNNNNNNNNNNNNNNNNNNNNNNNNNNNNNNNNNNNNNNNNNNNNNNNNNNNNNNNNNNNNNNNNNNNNNNNNNNNNNNNNNNNNNNNNNNNNNNNNNNNNNNNNNNNNNNNNNNNNNNNNNNNNNNNNNNNNNNNNNNNNNNNNNNNNNNNNNNNNNNNNNNNNNNNNNNNNNNNNNNNNNNNNNNNNNNNNNNNNNNNNNNNNNNNNNNNNNNNNNNNNNNNNNNNNNNGGGGCCGACCGCGGGCUCGCGGGCCGGCGGCGCGGGACACGUGGCAGGCUGGGAGUGGCCGGGCGCGGCGGCGGGGAGGUGUCCGGUGGCGGCGGACACGUCUGGUGGCGGCGGGGUGAAUUUGCUAGGGUUUGAUCUGCGAAAUAUUUCGGGAGGGGAGGUGUAUAUAUAGGUAGAGGGAGCUAGGAGACUCCAAACGGAGUGCGGUUUUCGCCCACACGAUCGUGAUCGAACGACCUAGAGGAUGGAAGAGACUUAGAUGGGUUUUGGGCUAUUUAGAGAGGGGUUUUGCUGCAACACACAAACGGACUUUGCGGUUACCCGGUUAACCGUUGGAGUACCAAACGACCUCCAAAUGGAACGAAACUUGACCGGUGGUCUACCGGUGGUAUACCAAGGCCACUUGCCAAGACUCGGUCCAUUCUGAGAAUGUUCAACACCCGCUCACGAAACGAAACAAGAGGGGUGCGCCGAAGGAGGUGGGAGUGCCAUAUUGCAAAACGGACAACGGGGAAAAUGCUCGGAUGUAUGAGACGAACACGUAUGCAAAUGCAAUGCACAUGAUGACAUGAUAUGAGAUGCAUGACAUGAACAAAAUGCAAAACCGGAAAACAAAACCCGACCACGAAGGGAAUAUCAUAACACAUAGCCGGAAAUGGCAAGAGUUGGAGUUACAAAUAUAGAAAGUUACAUCCGGGGUGUUACAACACUCCACCACUACGAGAGGAUCUCGUCCCGAGAUCUAGGACUGAAAGAACUACGGAUAUUCGGAACGGAGAUGGUCCUCGCGUUCCCAGGUGGCUUCUCGGUCGGAAUGGUGCGACCACUUCACUUUUAGGAAUUUGAUUGACUUGUUGCGAGUCUUGCGCUCAGUUUCUUCAAGAAUAGCAACGGGGUGCUCAUGAUAAGACAGAUCUUCUUGAAGGUCAAUCUCUUCAAAGUUGAUGGUGCGCUCAGGCGUCUUGAAGCACUUGCAGAGCUGUGCCACGUGGAACACAUCGUGCACGUUCGCGAAGUUGGAGGGAAGCUCAAGUUGAUAGGCGAGGUCGCCUCUUUUGCCAAUGAUCUUGAAAGGACCCACGUAUCUAGGGGCAAGCUUCCCUUUGAUACCGAAGCGACGAGUGCCUUUCAUUGGAGAGACGCGGAGGUAGACAUGGUCUCCGAUCUCGAAAGCCACAUCACGGUGCUUACUAUCAUAGUAACUCUUCUGGCGCGAUUGCGCGGCUUUGAGAUUUUCACGGAUGACUUUACACAUUUCUUCAGCCUCUGUGAUUAAGUCAUUGCCAAGAAGUUGGCAUUCACCAGUCUCUGACCAAUUGAGAGGAGUACGACACUUUCUGCCAUAGAGAAUCUCGAAUGGGGCCUUGCCCGAACUCGCUUGGAAGCUGUUGUUGUAGGAGAAUUCUGCAUAUGGAAGACAAUCCUCCCAUUUCAUGCCAAAGGAAAUGACACAAGCCCUGAGCAUAUCUUCAAGAAUUUGAUUGACUCGCUCGACUUGGCCACUAGUUUGAGGAUGGAAAGCUGUGCUGAAGCGAAUAUUUGUGCCCAUGGCCUUCUGGGAGGAGUCCCAGAACUUAGAAGUGAAGAUGCUUCCACGAUCUGAAGAAAUCAAUUAUGGAAUGCCGUGCAAGGAGACAAUCCUGGAGGUGUAAAGCUCUGCCAACUGAGCUGCUGUGAUAGACUCUUUGAUUGGAAGGAAAUGAGCCACUUUAGAAAGCUUGUCAAUGACAACGAAGAUAGCAUCAUUUCCGCGCUUGGACUUGGGAAAUCCAGUCAUGAAGUCCAUUUCUAUAUGAUCAAACUUCCACUCUCGGAUAGCAAGAGGUUGGAGGAGACCAGCUGGUCGUUGGUGUUCUGCUUUCACUCUUCGACAGACAUCACAUUCAUUCACGAAUUGAGCGAUUUCUCGCUUCAUUCGAGUCCACCAAUACGACUGCUUGAGGUCAUGGUACAUCUUCGUACUUCCAGGAUGAAUGGAAAGAAGAGAAUUGUGCGCCUCGUUCAUAAUGACUUUCCUUAGAUCACCUUUAGGAACCACAAUCU
rnacentral:lncRNA from 1 species